rnacentral:lncRNA from 1 species
UUGUAGCAUCAUUCAAGUAAAUACAAAUUGAGAUCGUAGAAACAUGAGCUUGUGAUAUAGCUACACCUAAUUCCAGACCGGUUAAUGCUAGAACUAUAAAUAAGGGACCAAGAUCUCCUAUGAAAUAGAAAAUAUUAUUCAGAAAUAGCAUAGUCCAAGCAAACCCACUUAAAAUCUUUACUGAACUAUGACCGGCCAUCAUAUUAGCAAAUAAACGUAUUCCUGAGCUUAAUGCACGAAAACAAUGAGAGAUUAGCUCAAGGAGUACUAAAAAAGGUGCUAAUGGCAGUGGGACUCCCGCGGGUAAUAAGAAGCUAAAAAAAUGAAGCCCAUGUCUUUGAAAUCCAACGAUCGUAAUGCCUAUAAAAAUGGAAAAUGAAAGAGCCAAAGUAAUGAGAAAAUGACUUGUCACUGUGAAGCUAAAAGGUAUCAUACCCUGGGGAUUACGAAAUAACGAAAAAGUAAAAGUGACCGAGAUGCAAGGGAAAAACUUUUGUUUCACAUUUCCUGAAAUACCACCUAUUUGUUCGUUUACCAGGUUCGGCACGAAAUCAUAAAUAAGCUCUACCAAGGAUUGCCAUGCAUUUGGCACUGACUUUCCCCCUCCCUUUUUUGUCACAACAUAAAGAAGAAGUAAGACCAAACCGAGAGUGAGCAACAUAGACAAGGAAGGAUUUGUAAAUGAGAAAUAAUAGUUGCCCAUAUGAAGAUCCAGAAUAGGGUGAAUGCCAAAUUGAUCCAAAGGACUCUCCGCUACCGGGCCUACUCCUGGAAGACCGUUGUUAAUUAUUGUUGCGUCGUAAUGCUCUCGUACAGCCUGCCCCAAAAUACUAUUUUCCAUACCAUUCAAUAGGAAAUCUUCAUGCAAGCUGCGAAAAGUUUCGCCUCUGGCGUGUAGUUCCCGGAGUAAUGUAUUACGGAAAGAGCGUAGAGCUGAGAAGGUGGGCCCGAGAGAUCUUCCAGUUUCAUCCAAAUAUGUAGUUAUACGGAACACUACUGGAAGCGCAUGUUCACGUAAUUCAUCACUAAUUAUAAUAACAUCCGGUAGAGGUAGAGGUGGUAGUGCUCUCGCGGGAAGCGACAUUCUACGAAUGGGUUGAUUAGUAGAAACUAAUACUAGAUUUUUUCUUUCCAUCAUAUGUAUUGAACUAAAUCUCCUACGAUUAUUAAGCAUAAGCAUAGCACCCAAAUAUUUCCAUCUAUUCUUGAUACCCCGUUGUUUUGUUCCUAAAAUCAGCCAACAACUGUCCUUAGAGAGAUUCCCCAAGGAAAGCCUGAUUUUCUUUUCUUUUGAGAACGUGAACAUGAGCGGUAACUGAACACCCACACAAUCUCGAUUUUAAAGAGAGAGACUGUCAUCGCCAUCUCUUUGGACAUGCAUGUGUUAAGCAAAUGGACUGAACUGAAUGAAGAGUGAUUUGACUAAGCAUUUUCGAUCUUAGGCGAACGAUGGGUUACCGGGUCUACGACCUCGCAAGGCACUACUGUAGAGCUCUUUGGGCCUGACGCUUUGCUUUCUCACUUUCCCAGAACUGCUACUUUCCUGCUUUUAGUACAUUGCUUUUCGUAUCAUCUAUGAGAAUUCUCGUUUCAGAAACUCCUCAAUAUAGUCGUUAUGGCAAUUCUAACCAUGUAGAUUUUAUUACCAAAUUGUAGUUUUUUCUUUGUCUACUGUCCAAGACUGUGCAAGAUACCUCAAGUACUGUCCAACUAAUACUUUCCAAUUCUGCCUUUCAUUGCGAAAAAAAGCUGUCCAAGUAUAAGUAUCUGUCUUUGCUGCAGCACCUUUCCUCCUUCCAUGGAUCUCUUCUUCGGGUAUCUAUGUCUUUCUUUGAGUCAGGCGACAAAGGAAGGUACAACUAAACUGUAGCGGUAGGAAUAGACCUUGAAUCUGCGAUCAGAACAGAUCCUCGUUUUCUACUUGCUAAAGGGAAGACUAAUGCUUGCUGAACGUAUAAAGAAUAAUGUGAAUGGUACCACUAGAUAAAACCAAUGGAAGGAAAGUGGUAGAAUAAGAAGGAUAGGGUUUUCUGUAUCUAUACCGAAAGUGGAAUGUGGCUAGUGUGCUUGGAUAGGCCUUUGAAGCUUCCAUGUUCUCAUAUAUCUGGCCGGGUAUUCAGUGUCUGAUCCAACAGAAGGGAAAGCCUACCUCAUCCUCAUAUAGUAUUGCCUUGUAGCUUGCAUCUUCGCAGCCUGCUCUUGUCGAGUACUAACUCCAUCCCUAUUCAGCUUACCUAGAGCCUGCCUGUUGGAGUUGCGUUCUCUACUCUAAAUGGGUUCAUUUUUUAUUUUUAGACACCUUCUCUCCAGCUAUAUACAGCCUGGAUUCAUCUACUACAGAAUCCAAAUCAGGUUCGUUGCUAUUGCUUAUAGCGAUUUGCAUCCAAUAUUGGGGAAGAAUCAAUAUACUUCUAAUGUCGAAUCAGGAUCAACUAAGAAAGAAAUCAAGUUAAGUAUUGGGUGGAACUCUUACAAAGCUUUUCAAAUAUUGGAGAAGUGGGCGGUAGAACACCAUCUGAACUAAUUGGCAUACAGGUUCGGUACUACUUGGCUACUACUUGAACAGAUGGGUUUAGUCCCUUCCAUCGCUAGCCCUUAUACGCUAGGGAUAUUCGUACGAAACAUAUAUGACUACGAAUUGAUAGUUGCAGACGGCUGUAGAUAAGGUUGUUGCUUCGGCUCCUCGGCUAAGAAAAAUAAUAGUUGUAUUGGCAAGGCAUGAAAGGGAUUUUUUAAUGCUAUCCGAAGACGAAUCGGAAUACGGAACCGGAAGCCGUAGCCCAGAACCUUAAGCUUGAGCGGAAGGGGAGGAAACCGGCUAUUCGAACUGGCGGGUGGGUGGAUACCCUAGUUCUUAUUGCUUUGUCGGAGCAGGGGCGGAGAGGGAUUCAUUAGUUUGACAACACAAGGGUGUCAUGUGGAGAAAGAGAAUUGAACUAAUCUCCGGGUACUGGUACCGCUUAAGCCCAAGCAAGUGAAGAAAUCCUGUAAGAUGGACUUGAUUUACUUUCCUUUCCAAGGCCUAUACCAUAUGGUUUGGGUAUACCACUAUCACCUAUCGAAAUGAAACACUAACCUGCCCACGACCCCCUAUACCGGAUACCUUUGCUUUGAAACCAAUGACUAGUAGAGGAUUUCGAGGAACUACAGCAAAGGGAAGUAGGGAUGGGCUUUCCUCGGAUUAGUAUUCGGAUUUUGCUGAUCUUGCCAAUGGUUGUUAUUCAAAAGAAGGGUUCGCACCGGCAAAGAAGAAUAUAUUUUCUAGUUGUAGCUUUCGAGGAGAAGAAGGUGCGGAAUCAGCCUGAGAAUCUUCUGCUAAUCAGUCAAAAUCCUCUUUUGUUCUACCGCUCAGAAAGGAAUUGUUGGUGUCUAGCUCAGCCACUAGUAAGGAAAGGAGCAGAUCAUCCCGGUAUCCCAGCAGAAGGGCUCUGCGGGAUAAGCGAGCAAGCGGCAUAGGGUCAAGUUGAAGAGUCACCCUUGCUUUCGUCAGAAGUCAUUCCUUCUUUCGACACUGGGUAAAGACAAGAAGGCGGCUUCGGUAAAGAAAGAACCGACGGGAGAGAAGAUGGCCUAGCUCGCGGGGAGAACUACUGAAACAAGAAAAGGUGGCCGGGCUUAGAAUGAGGGGAAGGAAGGAGUCGAGGUGGAAAGUUGCUCCUGCUUUUUUGAAUAUGUAAAGGGCUGGUUGAGGUGCUGAUCUUGGUUGCUCUGCUCUCUCCAUUCCUAUGAGAAAGGAAAGGUUGGCCAAGCUAGAACAUCUAUAGUGACAGACGAGGGCGAAUCGUAACUAGAAGAAGGAGACUACCUCCAAACUGCUUCAAAUCAAGAAAUUGUGGGGAGCUUUCUGGCUUGCAGUGCCUGGCCUGUUCAUACUAACUAACAGUCAUGAUAUUCAAGGUACGUAUCUUGAUAAGAUCAGGCAACGGAAAAAGCUUGGCUCGCGAAGGGUAAUGGACAGAGCCGGCUUGGUUCGGUGUAUAUUCUGUUGGCCUGGCUGUCGAGUACUUAUUCUAACUAACUACCAACUAGGCAAGGAAGUCAUAUACUUGAGCUUUGCCACUUGGCCAUUACAGAUAUUCAUUAAAGGGCUGAGUACCCCCAAUGGGGUAGCCGUCCAUGCCGUGAAAAGGAAACCGAAGAAUAAUAGCGAAGAUAUCACUAAGGAAGAUAAGGUUUUAUCUUGUCGGGGGAAUGUGGAGAAAUCAUAAAAGCAAAAAUAAAGGUUGUCGGUGGCGCGAGAAGAUAGUUCUUCAAAUGUUUGCGAAGCGCAAGACCGUGUAUCUGCUUAUCCACCCGCGGAUUGUAGGUUAGUAAUGCGGAUCUUUACCCCUUAUGGACCAAAUCCCGGGCACUGUAAAGACUUGCAUUUCGCCACCGGGUGAGAAAAUCUGCAGGAUCCACCUUUGUUUGAUAUCAACUGGACCUUAUGCGAGAGAAAGUGAUGCCAUCAGAAUCUUCCGGUAUUAAUAUGUAAUUGGAUAAACUGAGCUUUCACCUAGAAACUUCUAUUUCUGUGCAAGAAAGAAAGACUAAAAGCGCGUUCUACUAAACUCCGGAUUGACUGGUUGUCUUACGCAGUGCUAGCAGGGGUUCGAAUCUUCUUGAUGCGGAUUAUCCAAGCUUAGAGUAUGAAAAUAGGAGCUCUUCUUAAUCCCGGGCCUGCUUUGCUUUCCUCUAGAAGAGACAGGCUUACUGAAACUAGCACUAGCCGCCCAACUAUUUUCUUUAACCAGGUAAGCAGCUGUCCCUUCCUCGUUCCACUGCGCUACGCCUACACCGGUUUGCUCCUUUACUGCCUCCUUUGCGGAUUGUCCUCCCGGCGGUUGCAUCUAACCUGCUCCCAAUCUGAUCCCUAUCCUAGUUCUGGCUCCGGCCCACUUUCAUCAGCAGAUCCUGCCUUUGUAUUUGACUCUUGAAGAUAUCAACUCAUACGCCAGCUCCACCGAUAUAGCUCUCUUCCUCGGACUAGAGGGUCCUAUCUAUCCGAGUGUUCCUACUAGCCAGCUGUCUUUAACCAGAGUAUCCGGCCGAGGCACAUUCGUUUAUGCCGAGAACCAGUAGCCGAUGCUCUUCGACUCACUCCCGCUCGAAAGAAAGUAGUGCUAUCCACUGCUGGGCUAGCUCCCCAAUCCUUCCUGGAUCCUAUAAGCCUACCCGCUCUGUUUCCUGCCUUGUUUCAAUAACCGUACCUGCUUUCUUAAGUCUUACUUUCCGACGGAUAUUCGUAACCGUAGCUUUCUUUGGCGGAAGGUACACUACUUCUCUUCUUUCGCCUACUUGUUUUCCUGCUUGCUAAGCGGCUUGUGUUGUUCGCCUCGGCCCUGCUUCCUUUCCGUAGUGAGAGAAGUGAUUACACUCGAGCAUCUUCGAGGCUGCUUUCUGCUAGCCAUAUUCCUAAUCUGGGUAUCCUUCGUUGCACAUCUUCUGAAAAGAUAAGGGCUCGGUAUCGGCUCAAUCGAACAAGCUGAGGUAUAUAGGGAAUAGUAGAACAUAUUGAUUAUCCUAUUGGAUUGGUUCCGCUCAGUCGAGAUAUGAUGACUCAAUGGGCAUUGAGAGUUUCGAUUCAAUGUGGGAAUGACUAAGACAAGUUAGGCGAAACAGAUAUGCAUGCACCAUAGAGGUUUAUCCACCAUAGGUUUGUACACAAGAAUAGUAGUCACUGCGAGGGAUGCACAUAAAUCAGAUCUGCACUGGUAUAAGUGAUAGGUUUUGGAAACAGCAUAAUGAACGUAACGCACAGAAGAAAUAGAAUGAAAUGGUUAACUAAGAAUUAUAGAAUGAAAAAGCUGAGUAAUAAACAAGGAUUGGUUUGCUAUUUAUGAUGACGAAGAGCUGGUACAAGCCUCCUUCAGGAAAUGACCCUGCGAUGAAUGCAAUCUACAUUCUUCCAAGAUGGUAUAUGACAGAAAGAAAGUGGUGCGAUGAAUUAGUAUCAUUUACUAGUCAUUCUAAAACCGUUCCAAUUCAUUUCACAUUUCAUUACCUAGAGCCUGAGAGGGGUCACUGCUGAGAGGGUUCAUACUAUACCUAUUACUAUGGAUGCUUCAUCUAGCGCAUACCAAAUCAAGCCAGCCGGGUAUCAUAGGAGACAGGGGAAAAAGCACUUUACAAAUCACUCACUGGGUCGGAGGAUGCUUAUAAGAAAUCAGUAGCUGGGGUUGGUAGUCCUGGAACAGCUUUUCCUGCAUGCCUAAAAGAAAGAGUUGGCUUUGGGACAAGACAAGCAAGGGCGAAAGCUUCACUGGCUGUCCCAACUGCUUUACCUGCUGUCCCUACUAUUCAUUCUUCGCCAAGAGAGCUAUCACUUCACAACUCAAGUCCGGGAGCAGUCCCGGCUGCAGCAUCUCACUAAGCAACAUAGCUAACUAUUCGUUACACUAGUACUGCUCGAUCAACUAGUCCCGGGAUUGCAUUCUCUACUGAACUAACUACUGCUUUCCGAGGGAAAACACAACAUAGUGCAUCUUCAGAUGUGCGAAAAAGUCUAGAUUUCAUCAUCAAACGUAGUGAGAGCAGGUUGCAGGUGUUUUAUACCAGCAGUUCUGGAACAAGAAGUUUCCAUCUUAAUGAAUCUAGUCAACAAGGUUCGCUGGAUACAUGGAUAUACCGGAUAUACCAGUUGUUUAUGAAGGUUGGUCUAUUACUAUAGUGCAGGACUACAUGAAAUCGAAAUCAAUCAAUGUUUGUUUGGGUCAGACGAAAAAGAGACAUCAAAUAACGCUUCAAUUGCCUACAGAAAGUCGGGAUCGACUGAAAUCUAUGUAUGAGGGCCACUUUCGCUAAUUGCAUUCAUCAACAGGAUGCUUCUUUAGCUUCAUGGGUUAGAAAAUGUUGUAUGAUUUGGAAUAUUCCUAUCUACACUGUACACAACUGCUUUAUAACUAAUGCUUUGAAUGCAAUGCAAAUUCCAACAUUCUACACAGUAAGCUUCAUGAAUCUACUCGAACCUCUGUAUAUUGUCAACAGGCUCUGAUUUAUGAUAACCUGAUUCGGUAUUCUUCAAUGAAACAUUCUAUGACUGUGAUUGAUAGUGGUUAUGGUACAAAGAUACUGGAUAUUUGCUUGAAAGACAAGGAUGAGACCCACCACUGGAUAAGCGAAGAAGUACUGCGACGAGUUUUCAAUUCACUAGCCGAACAAAGAUCCUUCAAUGCAAAGGAACAAAAGGGUAUGGGAUUCUCAUGUCAAAGCAUUCAUUGAUAACUACUACUUCUUUGUUUCAUGUGUUGCAUCCAAAAAUGGUUAAUUAAGUAAUAGCAUUUAUAUUACCAAUUUGCUUUCAACUCUUAUUGAAAAAAAGCUCCGACCUUGGCUGUUUAGCAGUACACCCAUAAGUGAAUCCGGAAGUAACGUAGUACAGGGCGUAGCUCAAUCUUCUCUCGUUGGAUCCCAACCUAAAAGUAGCUAAGAGCGGGCCUAAUAUAAAAGAUAGCAUAGAGUUGUCAGUUUAAGUAGCUCCCCUUUUCCCGAGAGCGGGAGUCAGAGCAUCCAUUUCAUUCGUUUAGGUGGGGAAGAGGAAAAGCUAGACAAGCUUGCAAUCGAUCAGCUGCAAGUUCUUCGAACUUAUAAUAGCGGGAAUCUGGUCAUUGAUCCAAAGCUCACAAAGAGAUCACAAACCAAACAAUUCAUAGGAGUCCCCCACUAGUGCCGGUUUGACAUCCACUCCAGCAGCGCACCAAGAGAAUCAAGUCAGUGGUAGUUAUAUAAGUCAUCUCCGACGAAACAAUCAUCCACUACUUCAAUAGUGGCUUUUCGCCCUAGGCCUCCCUCUUUGGGAGCAGUUCGUGUCGUAAGAUGUCAGGUUGAGUCCGCCAACGAACGCAAUCCCUAGAAUCUGUUUUGAUCUUAUUAUUUGCUUUCAAUAAGAAGCGGGAGAUAAGCCUUCAUGACUGCAAUUUCCAGCCGGGAAAGAAGAGUGGGUACGGGGUCUUCUUUCACUUUUGUUAAGAUGUCGAGUCGGGUCAAGGAGAUUCAUAUAAGUGAUUGACUUGUUUACUUGGGAGAAAUAGCUAGGGCGGCGCAAAUCCUACCUGUAUCGGUACUCGUUUAAAGUAUGCGAUACACAAUCCUUUUAGUCGCGGGUGUCAGGCAAGAAAGAAAUUUCUGUAUGGGGCACUCGCCGCUUUUAUUUUUAGAUUGACUAAAGAAUUUCAAAAAUUGUUUAAGAUUGAAAGGCUUGAACUACCCUAGCCCACAACCCGGAAGAAAUAAGACCUAUGGCAAUCUAACAGGGUUGGUCUCACAUGAGAUUGACCGGAAGGAACACUACUCCUUUUCCCGAUUAGAAGAUUUUGACCCGAGUUUUAGUUGAUUGUUCAGCAUAAGCGGCACCUAACCACACUCAACCACGAUUGGAACUGGGCAAGGUAGGGCUUCAACCAACUUUACUUUCGAGCCCUGAACUUUAUGCAUUGAGUCUUCUUGUAGUAAAAGACUUGCCCAAGGUACUUUUACUUACAUUGAACUUAACACAGGGUCUUCUAACUGAUAUUUGGUAGAGAAGGAAUGAGCCGGAACUAUACCACUUCUUUUAUCAGAAGAUUAUUUAACACCGAUAAAGGCUUUUCUUCCGCAGUCCAUUGAUGACCGAUUCCCUGCCUUUUACUGUUUCCCCUGUACACCCAUGGAAUAUAUAAACGGUGAACAGUCCACGUAUACAUAGUGGCCGACUAGUACACCAGACAGGAAUAAUAAACGAAAGACAGAACGACAGAAAGAAGGCUUACUCCCAAGUACGGAGAUCACGUUGGUAGCUACGACCAAUCUACACUCUCUUUUAGAUUAUUAUUUGACUGAAUAUCCUAGUGUAGUGUAGGAAAAAUCAACUACUUACAUUGUAUACUUAUCCACUCCCUUAGAUACCGAGGAUCUCUUCUAGGCGCGAAGCGAUUCAUUUCAUUAUAUCUGAUAAAAAUUGAAGAUUUGUUUCCCUAAAAAUUAUAGGUCUCUUUCAACCUUCGGCCUCCUUCUCUUUGGUCGAUAAGAAUUCCGGUGGCUAAGUUCCGAGAAAUUGAUUCGCUCGAGAACGAAGAGUGUGCCGUCUGAAAGAUAUUAUUUUAAGCACGAAAAGAAGAAAAGAAAAAGGGUGCGAAGCAAAAUAGAAAGGAUACGACUUUCUAUUGUUGGUACCCCGUGCAUCUGCUUCCUUUUCACGUGUGUAUAGAGAUAGAAAGCGCGGGAAGAAGUUUGCCUCACUCAUCUUUUUUACGUACUCAAAGAAUGAAAGAAUGCAUUCUCCUUUUCAUCUUGCAGCCUUAUACCGGGCCUAGCACACCAGAGACUUAUGAUGAUCCUGCUUACCAAAAAAACUCCUUCCUAAUUCGUGUAUGCGCGUCGAGUAGCUUGGGUUUCCCACGCUCUGGGUUUAGGAAUAGCCAAAUCCAGGCGCGCAGCGAAAAAAAAGGCCAACAGCAAUACCAAAUGGUCUGUGCUUUUACCAGUAAUCCACCUUAGCGGCCUUUGUAGAAAAACCUUACCAGAUAGCAUUUAUGGAACCUGCCACCUAGGCUUAUUAUUUAGUUAUGUAUUCAUUUAUUUUUAUUUAUUUCCAAUUGUAGAGGGGUGGCUUUAUACAAACUUUCGUGGGUCACAGCUCUCAAUCAAGUCACCUCGUUGGAUUUCCACCCCAAGAGAACUGAGCUGCUUUGCUCGUGUGAUGACAACGGCGAGAUCCGUUUCUGGCUUGUUGGUCAAAAUGCACCUUCUCGUGUUUCUAGGGAAAGACUCAAAACCUUUUCUGAUUUACUUUUCUUCUUUCUUAUGAGCUGUGAAACGGCUUAAGCACAAACAAAUUUCUUUUGGGAUCAGGGUGGCACUCCCAAUGUGAGGAAAGAACACAAGACCAUAGAGAUGGCAUCGCGCAAAUCCCGUUGUGGACUGGGCACCACAUCUUUAUCAGUUUUUUACCGCCUUUCUAGCGACCUGCGGCCUCAACGCUCCGCGCCUUGUUUCUUUUCUUAUUUUUAUAGUACUAAAUUGCUUUGUCCCGGGUCUUCAACUCAAUUCUCUCCGGCCCAACCAAUAGUUGCUCCACCACUCUUCCCCAAGUCCGUACUAACUGGACUCGCUUCCGCUCCGGUCGACAGACUCGCUCUAUCUUCAUUCCCGAGCUCAGACAUUUUUUUUUUCGCCACCUGGACGCUUCGCUCCGAGAGUUUUCUUCCAGCCGAAAGAGGCUCAACCCGUGAGAAAGAGGUAUUCAUUUGCACCAGUCCGGAAUAGAGAUGUUCGCCAGUCCGUGAGUUGCUUUGCCCCUCGGGUCGGCUUGUGCUUGCUUUCUCAAUCCUACUCAAUCCUAACCCUUGCUUUCUCCGUGCCUACUCCAUCCGUCCCAUGCUUGUUUGCCCUAUCGGUCGGAAACAGUGGCCCAUCGCUAACGCUCGGCCAGUCUCUUCAUUCUCCGUUGCCCAUCGCUAACGCUCGGCAACCCGUCCCCUCGCUCUUCCGCUCGGGUCAAUCCUAUCGUACCAAUCCAAUCCUUUUUAGUAGCGAGCCAGAAUCGAACCAGCGCUUGAAGCAAAGAUUUCCAUCUUGUCGCCACUUUUGGUCACCCGGUUCACCACGUUAGUGGCUACAUCCGGGACGGACUCCCUCGUGCUAAUUUUUCUUUCAAUCUUCGGGGAACGCCCGGUUUAGGAUGGCCUCGCGUUUAUCCUUUUUUUCUAAAUCUUUUUUUAGAACCCAUAGGUUCUCAAUAGUGAAAGCCUUAUUUUGGCUUUGUAGAAUUGUCUCAACUAAGUAGUGGACACAGGCCUCUUCACCUUCUUUCGUAACGAGGUUAGUUGUUUGUUCUAAAAGUGGCAUUUGAACGCCAAACUUCUUAUUGCAAAAAAACCACAAGUGUUCUUUUCUUUAAAGAUUUUUAUCUCAAGGUUUUUUAUCUCUGUGUUUAAUUGUUCCGGAGUCAAUUUUUUAAUAGUCGAAAGAUAAUCUUGUAGGUCGAUUGCUUCUUUUGCUUCGGCCCGGUGUCUUUUAACACCCUCAUGCUUUUCCUUCCUAUUCUUUAAAUAACAGAACUUGACAAGCAUUUCCUAUUGAUUUGGCCGGCGGGCCUAGACGUUUACUCUGUCUUUCCUUCUCGAGAGCCCUCCUGAAUUCGCUCUUUCUCGAUUCUCUGGAAUUUGUCUAUGAGUGAGUGAAUCUAAUUUUCCUGGACUUGGCUAAUGUUUAGUCCAGGUACCCCACUUUCCGAACAUCCAGUCAGACGAACAAAGUUGCGGCUUCUUGAAAUGACCAGCCUAUGAAAGAAGCGGAAAAGCGUAACGACUUGAUUUUGAGAUAGAGGAUAUUGGAAAGAAGUGCGUAGGUAGGCCUCAACGUGUUCAUUGAGUAGCUUGAGGAAGUUUGCCAUUGUGAGACGGUUAAGGCCACCCCUAAACUCCUGGACCAGUCUACCAGUGCUAAUACUUUUCCCCCACAUCUUUAAAGGAAUCCUAACUUUGAUGCCCCCACUAUCUGUAAAAGAGACAAGCAACCCUAGAACGUCAAACUUUUUUUUCCCACCAAGAAAAAUGAGAAGUUUCUCAGAGGUAAUCUCCUCCCAGCUGACAUCGAGGUCUAACUUAUCGCAAUAAUUUUUGAGUAUGGUUCGCGCAUGCUCUUUAGCUCUAGCGGCAUUAAAGAAAUUUUGAAUUCGUGGAAUGCCUAACAAGAUUGUGUCCGCAUACCUAGCAUAGUACACCUUCAAAGGCUGUUCUCCCUCUUGGGAGAAGUACCACACCUCUUUUAAGAUCUUGUCAAGCUGGUGAAGAUAACAUUGGAUUAGAACUUGGGAGAUAGAGGUGUCUUGCGGUAUACCUAUAGAUUGGCAUCUGUAUUUUUUUCCCCGCACCAAAAAUCUCUGAACCAAAUCCACAAACCCAGAGUUUUCCUCACCAAGAUGCUCUCUAAGAAAAUUACCCAGUAGGUGGUGAUCUAUCCCUGAUCUGCACUCAACGAUUGAAAACUUCACCAUCCAAGCCAUCUCAGGCCAUCGGGAAACGCUUGCGAAGAAAGACCUAGCACCCCUCGCUACCCAAUACUCUCUGGAAUUUAGAUGGUAUAUCGAGUCCAUUUCCAAACAAAGCAAGCGGGCCAUUGCCUCGACUAUGACAGCAUCCAAAGCGCCUAUCGGCCAUAAUUUAUCUGGCUUGGUAGGAUCCCGUAUUGACCAACGCCUGCGAGAGAAGGUGUAACCCCCUUUUAGUAAGCAGCGUAUAACAUGGCUAACCUCACUAUAUGUAGUAUUUGAAUGAAUAGAUGAAUGCCUCCAGUUUUGGAGUAGAUAUAGGCACAAUUUAGCAAGUAACAUGGUUGCAGUCACAAUUCCUUAAUCUUCUCGGCUGGAAUCUACAAUGGGCUACGUACGCCCUUGUUUUUGAAUCACGGAAAUGCAGAGAAUUAGUGCUUACCUGCAGUCCACCCUUUCUUUGAACCUUGUAAAUGAUCGAAUUUACAGAUAUGAACUGAGUGCCAUUUGAUGAGUAAGAUCGAACAAGGGAGAGGGAUAUGGAAAGGAUGAAGUAAUGAAAGAGGAAGUCAUUGCUAGUAGUAACGACUUGUCACGAUCCAUUGGUUCAUAUAGAAUCCAUGUCCUAGGUCUAUCAAAAAACAUUCUUUUCGCUAAGCGUAUAUAAUAAAAUAGAGUGAAAGGGUCCACCCCGAAACCAAGGGGGUACUAACUAACAGCUGAGUCCUCUCCGAACCGCAGGAGAUAGUUGCCCAUCAUACGGCUCACCAACUUCACUUGCCUCUAAGGGAAGCUCGCUCCGGGCAGGUUCGGAUCACUUACUAUACACGGCCCUACGAAGGGGUUAGGAGCGUUUUCAAGAUGAUUCUUUCUUUGUCGAGACGAAAAAGGAACCCAUCUUUUCGAUUGAAAAAUGUGAGUCUGUUUUGCCCACUUUAUCCAUCCCCCUCUAUAAAAAUGAUCAAAAAGGCAUUGCUUCUUAUUCCCGUGUUUGAUCUUAUCCAUCUCUGCCCCGCUUCCAUGUGGGCAGAGACCCCUGUAGAGAAUGAAGAGGAGCCAAGGAUCUUACUCUCAAGAGUGCUUCGAUAGGCUCCACUCUCUCCCCUGAAUAAGUCAGGCUCCGUUAGCCUGGGCUGAGAUGGGGAUAACGAGUCGACGAUUGAAGCCCCCAACGUUCUGCCAGACACUGGACAGGGGUAAGCUCUGUAAAUGUGUAGAGCCAAGUGUAGUGUGGUGUAGUAGUAGGCACUUCUAGGCCCCUUCCCGGCUACUGGAUCACUCCAGUGCUUCGGGUACUACGGACCCUCUGCCAUCCAUUGCAGCAGAGCCGUUUCAUGAGCGGGGGGGCUAAGCGCAGUUCUUUGAAUCAAAGGUUUCAUGAAAUCAAAAUAGAUUCUUUUUUAGAUAUCUGGAUAGAUGGAUGGAUCUAUCUUUCUAUUCAGAUAUCUUUUGCAAUCAGCCCCAAAUCCUUGAUUUGGCCAGGAAACAAAGCACUGCUUUGGGCCCAGGAAGCGAAGGGAAUGAGCUCGGCUGCUUCUCCUCCACACUUCUUUAUUUCUCCGUGCCCCUUCCGCAUGCGCUUCGCGCGCCAUUGGCGCUUUGCUCUCCUCUUAUUUCUUCAUUGGAGGGUUCGGAUGGACUUCGCCGUUCUUUCCCAACGAAAAUGGAAAGGGCUGUAUCACAUCGAGAUGUCGAUUCGUUUUCCGCCCCAAAUGAGAUGGGGAAUUAGUCACCUCUGUCCCUUCAUCUUUAUGAAAGGAAUCGAGGCCCGGCCCGGCUCGCGUCGUUCCAACAACCGACGGGGAGCACCUCAGUAUACGAUCGCGCGCAGUAACUGGGAGUCCUAUUACACCUAAGGCCAACUUCCAUUCACCAAACCCAGGUUCAUCUCGUGUAGUGAUUGUGGACUCGUACAAGGAUAUGGAGUCGACGGUUGAUGUAUCAGACUCGACCCUGUCUUUCGUAGCAUGCAUUCCCAUCUGUGUUGCAACUGAUUCGGUAAGCUACGUGUCCGGUGCACGGAAAACAGCCUUCGGUCUCCCAACCUUACUCAUGGCAACCUUCCGGCCGCCCAACGACCUAUAACGCUAGUCACUACUCCCACUGGGGCUAGGAAGUAAGCCCCACAACCCAAAGCGGCGAAGAACAAAUAGAAUUUGCUACAAAAGCCGGCUAACGGGGGUAUUCCUGCGUAUGAGAACAUUGUAAUGGAGAAGGUCAUAGCCAAAAUAGGAUUCGUUUUGGCUAGAGCGCCCAAAUCCGCUAUAUAUUUGACACGGGUUUGCCGUAAUGCUGGAACUAUGGCGAAUGCAUCUAUCGUCAUUGAUGCAUAAAUAAAUAUACCAAUUAGUAGUGAUUGAAUUCCUUCUAUGGUUCCACAUGAGAAACCAGUACGAAUAUAACCUACAUGUCCAAUCGAACUAUGAGCUAGAGGUCUUUUUACUUUCGUUUGGGCCAUGGCGGCCAGUGCUCCUAAGAUCAUAGAAGCAAUGCUGCAGAAAAAGAAGAUUUGUUGUAAUGUACCCCCAUAGGAAGCAACAAUAGAAACACGUGACAUAUUUGCAGAAAUAGAGAUUUUAGGCGCAAUAGAAAGGAAUGCUGUCACCGGGGUGGGUGAACCCUCAUAGAUAUCAGGUGCCCACAUAUAUAGAGUCAAAAGAGAGAUUGAGUCCGAGGGAGAGGGGGGUUUUCUUGGGGCUCGAGAGAUUGAAUAGAUAGGGCCCCACAAGUUGUUAAUUCGCCGCUGGGGAAUUCACACAAAAGGGAAGGACUUAUUCUCAACGAAAAAAGUGCUCUCUGAACCGAACGUGAAAGUUGUUUUCCAUCAGACGGCUGUUCACGUAACUCCACUCUCGGCUUGGAUUAUAUAUCCAUUUGGUCCGCUCUCGGCCAUUCCACACGCUGCCUAGCAGAGACGUGGUUAUCUGAAGUGGAUUCUCUCUUUUCUUUUGUAGUAGAUGCCGAACCUGCUGCUCAGUGGGCGGGCGCAGCAGCUACAUGGACCCCUUUCUUUAUGUUGUUGCCAGCGCUUUCCCGGGCCGAGCCGGAAUUCUUUAUUAGAACGUCGGCAGGCAAAGCCCGAAGGAAGGCUGCUAUCCCCUCGGCCUUCUUCCUUUUCGAUGAAAAACAAAUCGACAUCUCAAUCUCCGAAAGCGUUUUCCUUACCCUGAAAAUAUCCCCCCCUUCGUCGAGCCUUUCCUUUAGUGGUAAGGGAUAUGCACCUUAUCUGAACGUCGGCAGGCAUUCCGGAAUUCUCCUUUUUGAGCCCCGGGUGAACAUAGGCUCAAACAUGAUUGGGGGGGUCCUAGCUACGCCAUGCGUUCAAUACAAAAAAAAGCCUCUGGGAAGCUGCAGAGAUUACAAAAAGAGGGUGCUUUCCUGUGUUGCACUGAAAAAAGGACAAAGGAGAAGACGCUCUUCGACUUUCUUUCUUCCUCCCGCGCCCGCCUAAGCCCGGCCCGCGUUAGAGGGGAAGAUUAGCAAAGCGGAAAAAGACAGAGGGAGGGGGAGCUGCAUCUUAUUCUCUUCGCGAGAACUUCAGGAUCGGAGAAGCAUUCGGAAGGGGCGAGGCCUUCAUUUCGUUGGCAGAAGCAGAAACGAUCCAAUCCAUUCGGGGCUUCGGGGAACCCAAAAACGAACUCUGUUUACUUUUUUCAUAGAUAGAUGAUAUAUAUAGGAAUAAUAUAUACAUCCCUUUACUUUAGAUGUCUAUGUAUCUUUUUUUUAAUCAUCUCCCGAUUAUCUUUUUUUUUAGUUCGCACUGCUCUUUCUCUCUAAAUUGCAUCAAAGAAAAUAGAGAGAGAGCAGAUGGAUCCUAUCCCCUAUAACGAACACUCAUUCCUAUCUAUUGAUAGAAAGAUCUUCGUCACGGACUUUGCCUUAGACUGACGGAACAAAGCUAAGAAGUAGGCUGAAUGGAAAAAGGAAAGGGACAAGGGCGGUCGUCGCUUGGCGCGAAGGCUGCCGGUUCGGUACGGUACUAAAGGUCCUCGGACUUCCAGGCGGUUUUUCUUUUGGACUGCUGUGAACCCUUGGAUCUCGCCAAUACAGCCUCCUAUGGUUUUCGUUACCGAGAUAUCUUUUCUUUUUUCCCAGGGAUUUUUUGGGUAAUCAGCUCCCAUGCUGCAAACAGUCAAAUCUGAACCUUGUCGCUCUUCUUUCCUCGUGGGCAGGAAGCACACCAGCUGCGUGCGUUGCGUGAUUCCACUGUGUUUUUUGCACUUGACUGGGCGGACAGUUGACCGGAAGAUAACUUCGAUUCGCCCGGCCAGCAGGCGGGCGGCGUGCUUAUCUUGUGUGACAACACUACAGAGCGAGUAGCUCUUCUAGUCGGGCAGCUGUGUGACAACACUCCAGAGAAAGCGGCGCUUUUGUGUAACAUGCUAUGGUCUCAACGCCCUUACGAGGUAGUGAUGAGUUUCACGCGCUCUAAGCCCGGCCCGCGCGCAGUUAGGAGGAUUGGCCGCUAUCUGAGCGGUACCACCCAUCCUACCCUACUACCUAUAGGGGGCCGUCCGUCCUACAGCCGCCCGAAAAGGAACUGCAGUAAUCUUGAAUAGGGAUCCUACAGCGAUAAAAAGAAUCCCCAUAAAAAUACCACUAGAUCGAGCACCAGUGAUUUCGUAUCCGGUCAAAAUCUUGGCUAAUUGAUCGAAGUGGGUAGCUCCAGUAGACCCAUAGAUCAUGGAACAAAUAGGGUGGGUAGGCCCAACCACCACACUACACGUAUAGACGCGAACCCCCCUCCUUACCGUACGUGCGACUCUCACCGCAUACGGCUCGCACAAAGACUCCAAAAUCCAUCCCGAGCUUUUUAUUCCACCUCUCCUCUCCAAUCCUCGAUCAAACUAGCCUUCCCCAGCAAGAAAACGUAUCCGCAGGCGCAACAAAGCGCUCAUCCCUUACUUGUUCUUGAGCGCCUUGCGCGCUCAAGACGGUGAUUCUUGCUUCAAAACUAAAGGGCUAAAGCACUCCAGCUUCGAAGCUGGAGUUUGCAACUUCAAAACUAUAGGUUUUAGCCCUCCAGCUGGGUGGGCGCUUCCUUCGUCUAUCGUAUGUCUCGCUUGGCUUCGUCCCGAACCAAGGAGGCAUGAUGGCGGGCGGCGUGCGUGUGCCGACUGUAGAGACUACAAGCCGACGCCGGAAGCGACUCGCUUCUAUUCUCGAUUAGAUAUAGAUGGGGAAUCUCUAUAGAUCGUCUUUUUUCGACAACCUCUCUAAAACGCAUACGAGAAAAUUGCACUUCACGGCACGGCCAAAAAAAGAAAGAGCUUCGCUCGGUUGGCCCUCCUAGGCUUCCGCCUACUUUCUCUUCUCUUAAGUCUACAACAAGUGGGAGAGGCAGGAUUCGAACCUACGUAGAAAACCUUCAACAGAUUUACAGUCUGUCGCUUUUGACCGCUCGGCCACUCUCCCCUUCCCGGGGAUACGCCCUCCUCAAACAAAGGGUUCCUGAAUAAGAAGGAUGGCGGCCUUCGUUCUUAAGUUAAGAAGAGCAGAUGGAACUAUUAGAUUUGCUAGCGUUCCGGGAGAAUAAAUAAGGUCAUUUAGUAAGUUCAUAACAAUUUCUGUAAAGCAAGGGGCAAAGCUUCUACGACAGCUUCCCCCUCAUUGCCAUCGUCGGCCUUCCCCAGCUCCCCUCCUUCGUCGCUUCUGGCUAAGCAUCUUUCGGCGGAGGAAAGGAGGCGACUAGUCGCUUCUGGCGAAGCAGCGAGUUCAUGAGCAAGUGAAUGAACGAGCAGCGAGUGAAGUGCAACAGUCGUAAGUAAGGCUCGCCAUGUUCCUAAACCUAAAAGGAGUGACCAUCUUUUCUUCCCUUCUACUGACACUGAGCGAGCUGCAAGCAUAGGCAAUAGUUUCCGUAGGGGUGGGGCGCAAGCAAGCGUUUUCAGGCUCCGCUAGCUAGCGUACUCUUCUGCUAUCAAUGAAACCGAAAGAAAAAACCAGUGCCCUUUCGUAUAGAUCGAGACGCAGUACUUUUUCUUGACUUCUUCCAUACUAGGAAGAAUGGAAGGAAAUCCUUCGAUAACACUUCUUCCUUAUUUGAAGAAAUGAUAUCCGACGCCCGCUCUUUCAUUUCAAAAAAGUUCUUCUUCUUAAGAAGCAAAUAGCAUUUCCUAUUGAUUUGUCCCCUGGACUAGACCUAUGUAGAUUCGGAAUUAUCCGUCGCUACGCUGUUCCCAAGGACUAGCAAAAUCGAAAUAGCGAAAUUCUUGGGUCAUCUCAAUGGGUUCAGAAACCACACGUUUCUCUGGAUCAUCAUAGCGUACUUCCACAUAUCCACUCAGAGGAAAGUCUUUUCGUAAUGGAUGACCCUCGAAACCAUAAUCAGUUGAUAUACGGCGUAAAUCCGGAUGAUUGAUGGAAGAAACACCAGACAUAUCCCAUACUUCUCGCUCCCACCGGCCGGCUGAUGGAAAUAGACUGACUACCGGAGAUAUUCGUGUUACUUCGUCCGCACUUGUUUGUACACGAAUGCGUGAGUUAUACCGAGUACUCAGUAAAUUAUGGACAACUUCAAAUCUUCGUUUUCGAGAGGGAUGAUCCACUCCGCAAAUAUCGAUCGAAACUUGAACCCUUGUAUAGGUAUGCCAUUUUAGAAAGCACAACAAUGGAAAUGGGUAGUCAGUAUUGGUAUAAGAUCUAUUCCCAUGUUCCGAUCUUUUCAUUUUAUGUACCCAUUUCUUGGGUAAAAUCUCCCAACUAUAUUGGAAAAUGGAUUGGUUAUCCAUAAAUGAAAAUAAAGAAAGCUUGAUUUUUGUUCCGCUUCUUGCUCUAAGCAGAAAGACUUGUCGGAAAUCGCCGGUUGGGUUGGUCCGACCAAGAAAGGCAUGGGAGUGGAGAGGCGGAAGUGAAAGACUGGCUACCAAUAAAGAUCCCUCACUGCACACUUUCUAUAGUUCUGUAUCCAGGAUCGGCUGCAUGCUCUAGUGUUGAAUCGGGUAUAGAACCCAGGAUGCUUGGUUACAAUUCCGAAUCCGCUAAACCAUGUUUGUUUUCUUUUUUUUUCUCGACUGGCUUUAUCCAUGGGUAAUGAGUUUCGAUGUAUUGGGCGUUUCCGUUUAGAAAUAGAAGCUUUUUCGUGCUUGCUUGCGAGCAUUGGAAUGGCCUGAAUGGAAUGAAUAUUAAGAUAAAUAAAAGAAUAAAAAUAAACCAUUAAGAAAGUUAUUCAUUCUUAUAUUAAUUUCCUAUACUUGACCGAUUCCAAUUCCGUUAUUUCAACUACACCAAAUGAUCUUUCGAAUUGGUCAAGACUCUCCAGUUUAUGGCCCCUUCUAUUCUAUUCUAUUCUAUUCUAUUCUAUAUGGUACCUGUUGUUGUUUCAUUGAAUUUGCUUCAGGCUCGCGAUUCGACUUUGAUCAUUAUGGAUUGGUACCAAGAAGAUCAAGUCCUAGGCAAGCGGACCUAAUUUUAACAGCCGGUACGGUAACAAUGAAAAUGGCUCCUUCUUUAGUGAGAUUAUAUGAGCAAAUGCCUGAAUCAAAAUACGUCAUUGCUAUGGGAGCUUGUAGUAUUACUGGGGGAAUGUUCAGUACGGAUUCCUAUAGUACUGUUCGGGGAGUCGAUAAGUUAAUUCCUGUGGAUGUCUACUUGCCGGGCUGUCCACCUAAACCGGAGGCGGUUAUAGAUGCCCUAACAAAACUUCGUAAGAAGAUAUCGCGAGAAAUAGUUGAGGAUCGAACUCUAUCUCAAAAGAGAAAUCGAUGUUUUACUACCAGUCACAAGCUUUAUGUUCGGCGCAGUACUCAUACUGGAACUUACGAGCAAGAAUUGCUCUAUCAAUCACCGUCUACUUUAGACAUAUCUUCUGAAACUUUUUUCAAAUCCAAAAGUCCAGUAUCUUCCUACAAAUUAGUGAAUUAGGAAGGGCUCUUUUGUGCAGAAAAAGAAAGAGCAGGGCAAUCUUUCAAACUUGCAUUCGAAAUGUGAAAUAUUUAUACAAAGGGGGAGAGAUCAAGACAAUGCAGCAGGGUUGGUUAUCUAAUUGGCUAGUCAAACAUGAGGUGGUUCAUAGAUCUUUGGGCUUCGAUCACCGAGGAAUAGAGACUUUACAAAUAAAAGCAGGGGAUUGGGAUUCCAUUGCUGUCAUUUUAUAUGUAUAUGGUUACAAUUAUUUACGUUCCCAAUGUGCUUAUGACGUAGCACCUGGUGGAUCUUUAGCUAGCGUGUAUCAUCUUACGAGAAUACAGUAUGGUACCGAUAGAAAAGAAGAAGUAUGCAGCAUAAAAGUCUUUGCCCAAAAGGAUAAUCCUAGAAUCCCGUCUGUCUUCUGGAUUUGGAGAAGUGCCGAUUUUCAAGAACGCGAAUCUUAUGAUAUGGUGGGAAUCUCUUAUGAUAAUCAUCCACGCCUUAAACGUAUCCCAAUGCCUGAAAGUUGGAUAGGCUGGCCCUUACGUAAGGACUAUAUAACCCCCAAUUUCUAUGAAAUACAAGAUGCUCAUUGAAUGAUAAUAAAUUCAUGCUCACUUAUACAACACAACUCCAGAUUUUAUUCAAGUCAAGGAAUAUUUUUACGUUCUGUUCCUAGACGAAACGGAAUACCUAUUAUAUUAGAAUGAAUUCCUAUUAUACAAAAGGGUCCAGAUAGACUGAGCAAAAAAGGGCUUCAUUUCGAUUCUCCAAUUUGGAAAAUCACAUAUUCAUUUCCUUCGUAUAAACAGAAAAAUACGAUGACUCAAAGAAGUUCCCUACCACGAACUUUGUACCGCGCGCAUUACUUAGAACAACUUUGUACCGCGCGCAUUACUUAGAACAACUAGGAAAGUAAGAUAAGCAAGAAUAUAAAAAUAUUCGGAAUAGCAGAAUAAGAAAUGAAAAAAUGAAGAAAAGGGAACCUAAUCUCACCUCCUUCUGUACCAUAAAGAAAAGAACCCGAGAUUUUGACCCUAAAGAAAAAGAAGUGUCUCUAUUUAGAGAUUUAUCUACUUAGAUGAAAAAAUCAUACUCCUUCUAUAUUAUUAUAGAAUAUGUAUCCCAAUCCAUCUCGAGUAAUUUGCAUCAAUACCUAUUCGGUAGAUCCUUUUUUCUGUGCCAGGAACCAGAUUUGAACUGGUGACACGAGGAUUUUCAGUCCUCUGCUCUACCAACUGAGCUAUCCUGACCAUUUAUUGUGCAUCAUCCUAGUAGAGUACUUGUAUCUAUGUCAAUUAAAGGGACUAAAAAAGAAAAAAGUAUUCUAAAAUUGGACUUAGUAAAUGUCAGGAUAAUGAUAUGGAUUGUGAAUGACUUACUUAAUAAUAGGGAUUACUUGCCUAUACUAUAAUAUGUUCAUUUGUAUGAAUGGGAUAAGAUCCAAAGAAGUAAGUUCGGAUCCGUUUGUGAAAGAGUAGAAUAAGAAAGAUAGUGAAUCUUGUUUGAACCAUUAAUGAAAAAUAGAGGUUGGUACAAUAGUUAGGAAGUAAAAUGGGCUUUUUAUUGGGGAUAGAGGGACUUGACUUGAACCCUCACAAUUUAUAAAGUCGACGGAUCAACCUUAGUGAAUACUAUAAAUUUCAUUGUUGUCGGUAUUGACAUGUAGAAUGGGAUUCUCUCUUUAUUCUCGUCAGACUUGAACCUAACGAAAAUAAGAAAGGUUCAUAGAAUUUUAUCCCCUUUUCGCGGAAGGGCCUUAAUCCGUAUUUUCUCAUUCAUGUAUCACAAAUGGAUCUAUCUACAGUAGGAUUUUUUUCUUUUUUGCUCAUUUGUAUUUUACGUACCAAAGUAAUUAAUUUGGAAUAAUGAAUUUCUAUCAAAUAAAGGUAUUAUUGCGGAAAUCUAUUUGAUUUGAUACAUUGUGGUCGGUAACGUUGGUGAAUUAACAGAAACGGAAAGAGAGGGAUUCGAACCCUCGGUAAACAAAAGCCUACAUAGCAGUUCCAAUGCUACGCCUUGAACCACUCGGCCAUCUCUCCUACAUAAUCUUAUUAUUGACCAGAAACUGAGUGAAUAGCGAGUUUUCGUAUCCCUGCAAGUACAGGUACAACCGAUCACGGGUUCCAUAGGGAGUUUGACUUCCUUUCCAAUUUAAUAUUUCUCAACAACAACUUCUCUCAUCCCCACGGAUCUAUUCAAAAUUCUGGAAUCGUCCCAUGUUUCUAUUUCGAUUGUAUGGCGUGGCGUAUACACGUUCUGCAAACAGAACGUAUGGUUACUUUACUCUAUUUUCUCAUGGCUUGUUAAACCUUUCUUUUUUCUCUUUGGAUCAUAACCAAAUCAAAACUUCUCGAGUUAUCAGAAUCCAUAGUAAAAUUCAGUCCUUGGUUAUUCAAGUUAGAUGAAAUAGUAAUAGUUUGGCUCAUUGGUAUACUACGAAAUCCAAUCUGAUUCAAAUAUUUCAUAUCUCUCUUUGUCCAAACAGAAGGAAAAGGAGACAAUUUGAGCUGGGCGGAAAGCCCAUAUCUCUCUUAUCCAUUUAGAACAUAUGGAUCUAUUUAUAAGAAUUUAUAAGAAUCGAAUUUGUUUGUUUUUAUGUUAUUUUGUGAAGUAAUGAAAAUCAAUCAUUCUAUAUAGAAUGGGUUGCUAAUUAUGCCUAGAUCCCGUAUAAAUGGAAAUUUUCUUGAUAAGACCUCUUCGUAGCCAAUAUUUUUUUCGAAUAAUUCCGACAACCUCUGGAGAAAAAAGGGCAUUUAGAGAUGGUGCGAUUUGACUCUUUUAUCUUGUUUUUUUUAGCCCUACACCUCAGUCUUACGAGAAAGAGGGGCGGUUCGCAUAGAGAGAACCAAACCAAAUUAGUAAAAGAAACCCACGCUUGGUGAAGGUGAGGUUUGGAGAUCUAACAAUUCCUUAUGUCGUGUAUCCUCGAUUGAUGCAGCCUCAGAUGCUUCAAUUGUAGAUUUGAGUAUUGAGCGAAAGGUUACACCACCUAUAGGUUCUGUAUUACAGGCCAAUCCUACUCCACUAGUACCAAUAGGCGGCAUAGGGGAAAAAGCACAACACCUAGGAAUAGGAAUCAACAACACAAAAACUUUAUUAAUAAUUACCCAGCAAGAAAACGUAUGCGCUUUAGCAACAAAGCGCUCAUCCCUUGCUUGUUGACCCGAGGGAUCCCUUCGUGACGGCCUCUAGAUUGAACUAGGGCUUAGAAAUACUGAUUUCACUGAUUCAGCUAUUUCUGUCCUAAUAGGCAAGAAGUAAAGUUUUCAACUAGAUUGAUAGAGAGGAAUGAAUCAGUAUCUAGUCCUGCCUUCCUUAAGGACGACUCUUCGGUCAAGCUUGUUUGAGACCGGAGCUAAUCCUAGCCCGAUACUAGGAUCACGAUACGCAUUUCGAGAACUGGCACCUGGGAAUAGGCCCUGCCCAAGGUGGUCAAAUUGGUACUUGUCAGGAAAUGUCAUGAAACAAGCAUGCAAGCAUAAUUUAUUAGUAGUUCCAGAUAAAGAAAGAACAAAGACUGCCUAUUCCCUUAAAAAAUAGGAUGGAACAGUUGUAUUCUGGAUAAAUUCUUUUUAUUUGGAGUUUUCCCCCUUUUUUUAGGACGCAGUUAUUCAGUAUACCCACGUGCGUAACAUUCUUGGUUGUAUCUUUAGCAACCACUAUGCAAAUAAGGCCUCCGAAAGCUUCACUAACCACUGUGAAAUAUUACUCUGGUACCAAUGAAAAUUGCCUUGCUAUAUCAAUCAUUAUCCGGUAUGGAGCCAGCGUCACUGUCGGUUUAGCGUGAGUACCUUCCCACAGUACUCGAUAGCAUUCGUGCACCUAGCAUUUGUGCUGAAUUGUCUACCAGCUCCUGCCUUCUUGUCCUUUGCGCUCAAGUCUAUGGCCAGUACUGCCCGGGGCAAUAUUAGAAGUUUUCUGAGGGUUCCAUCGCCUCUUGGUUGGUUUUUCUCCGCAAGCAGAGCAAGCUAGUUCACAUCCGAUUAUCCUUACCGCACUAACCAUUGCAGGCGAGGUAGCCUUGCCCUAACGUCAUAGAGAAGACGUGCCGCAGCUGCCUUUCUAAGACCUGGUACAAGUGAUGACCUAGUUGAUAAGGGUCGAAUGCGUAGUUCAUUCGCAUGUCUUUCGAAAGAAAGGAUGCUUCAGAACAACCAAGUAGUACUGGGAACAACUCCUAUUGCGUCAAAGGGUUCAGGAGCCAUUCUAUGAUAAAUCGAGAAGGGACAAUCCGGUCCUGGUCCAUAGAACCGAUCAGAAAGGCCAGAAAUCUGUGAUCUAUCGCACGAAAAGGGCUUCGUCCGAUCCAUUAAAAUCUAGGAAAAGUAGCCGUAUAGCGCCUGAAAUGGGUCAUGUUUCUUGUGCUCUAUAUCGCAAGUUCGGAUAGGCUUGCAUAUGUUUCUAUCUCAAAGUGGAAAACCAAUUAUACGUUAGCUAGCACGAACUAGAACCGCCCCUCGAUUUUAGUAUCUGACCUUCAAUUCCAAGAAAAGGUAGUAAAUAGGUAAAUCGGUUAAAGCUCUUGUUUGGGAAAUGGGUUGAGUUGAAUUCAUAUUAAUCUUGCCAAGAACAGAACAAGAAAAAAAACAUAAUUGGCUAAGGCACUUUCCUACCGGUUAAGAUUUCCAGUAUUCUAACAAUCAUCACAAGCUAAAUGGAUAGCCUUGCUUUGAAGUAAAAAGAUAGAUUGAACUUAUCUUUCAUUUGUCAAAUCUCUAAACAUCAAUUCAAUGGAAUUGAUUCUGUUGAAGAAAAUCGAUAAACUGAAAUCAAAUGGAAUCAGAAAAAACAAAUCAAAUGUCAUUCCAUCAAUUGACGACAAAAGAUAGGAAUAUGCAUUAGAUGGACAAAUUUUCACACACUCAUGUCAAAAUGCAAGUAAUCUUAAACUUUCUGAUCAUCAAGGCUCCGAAACGAAGAACUUCUUGGAGUACGUGUACUUCCUUUCCCAUAAAAACGUUCUAAAUUCCUCUGUCUGAGAGAUGGGCACUUAAGAGCUAGAAGACCCACAUAACGAGUACCCAUGAGGGAGGCGGGCUACAGUGCUCAUGCAAGGCAUAAACUUUCAAGAAAGACAAAUUCUACAAGCAGGAGAAGUAUCCUAGGCAAGAAGAGGAAUAUCCUAGCAAAGAAGGUGAAAUAAGCGGUUAAGAGAAGCUGACCAAGCAAGCUUCGAAGACGAUCGACCAGUACACUCCAAAAAAGACAACCAAGAUUGAGUGACACGCCACUAAGAGAAGAGAACCUUUUGAAUACAUAGAAAGCUUCCUGUCGCUACUCGGCUGUUUCGACCGUUACCCGGUAGACAGAGGCCCCGGUUCCAAUAUACUAGGCGCGGUACUCCCCACGAAUUGGUUAUGACUACGAUAGAGAAAUGCCAUCGCUAGAGGGACGAGCGCUAGAUACGCUAGAGGAACUUCACUCCUCCUUAGUAAAAGUGAGACUAGGUAGAGGAGGUAGAAAAUAAGGCCUACCGUCUAUAUGGGACUAGUCAUCAAAAAAGCAACCUAUAUCGACGUAAAGAGAGCUAGGGUGAAGUGGACUAUUAGAUCCCCGGCUUACCAUUAGAAAGAAAGCUUAGCCUUAGACGUCAAUGUGUUAAGCAUAUAGGAAGCCUUCUAAGAAAGUCAGUAAGAAGUAGACUUCAUUCUGAAACUCCAGCAUUUAGGCCCGUAUAGAAUGGGUCCUCAAGCUUAGAAUCAUUUGGCCUAACCUUUAAUACUCGUCAGCAUCUUUUCAUCCGGGUCGUACUAAAGGCAGGUAGACCGAACACACGGCACCUGUCCCAAUGACUGGUACACUGACGGUGGCUUAUUGGCUCCUUCCUCCCUUCCAUCCUCAAGUCUUACUUUCCUUGAUGCCUUAGUUUACUUGAUGCCCGAUUCAUUCCUCCCUAUAUUCAAUCUCUUGAGCCAUAUUCUAGAGUCAGGUUUGACUUGCCUUUCCUUACUUUCUUUACUUCACUAGCCUUACUGGACAUACCAUACAUACUGGACUGACUGGGCUUAGCAACUAGUUAUGUCCCUAUUGGACAAAUCUCCCCUACACCGUAACCGUAACCGGAUUACAUUCAUUCAAGUUGGCAAUCCCCUGAUCUUUGCUUUGCUUCCGGUGUGCGAUCCGAAUUUACAUAUAAUGACCGUAGUUAGCAGGCAAUGGCCAAGGUCAGUGCAUCUCGAACUAGUGGGUCACUAUAUCUAAACUAUCUAAUACAACUAUUGAAUGCGCUUUCUAUCUAUCUAUACCGGUACCAUGAAAAAGCAGAAUAAGCAGUUGAGCACCAAUAAAUUCCUGUUUCAAGUAAGUAGGAAGGGGGCAAGAGAGACUGUCAUAAUAUUACUCUGGGAGACGGAUCCUGUUAAGUCAGUACGAAUGUGAUACGAAAAAUCCUCUUCCAUUCUUACCGGCUGGGCUAAUCCCUGAUGUGGUCACAUAUAUAAUAUGCAAAUCUCUGGAUGCUGCUUCGGCUUCCGUUUCUAGCUCUGCUUGAGCAGCUUCGUCUGUUUCUCUUGAUGUGGAUGUCGGUGAGUCAGAUCUCUUCUCUCACUUUCGGAGCACAGUUGGUCCUCAAUUUGAAAACCGAGAAAGGUGAGUUCUUCCUUAUUCACGCCUUGAUGCACCUUUUUUUCGUGUUCAAUCUCGCCUGAGAGCAGUGCAUCGAUACCAUUCGUCUUGAAGAGCCUAUAUAAGCCCUGACCGAAGAGAAUCCUUUGAUAUCCGUCUUGCCUUCUCAGUCCUCCUUAGAAUCUCAUCCCAUAGGUCUCAGGGUCCCCUCCACCGACCCUUGUACUAUCGGUUUCCGGGCGUGAGCCAAACCUAGGGCUUGGAUCGAAAUAUAGCUUUACUUCCUUUAUUUCUUUAGUCUGAAAGAGUUCCCAGCUUAUACUCAAGGCUAUAAUAGUUCUAGUUUUCUUUCUCAUUAGGGAAGGCGGGCUCGCUAGCCUUAUUUUUAGCGGCCGGGAGGUCUUUUCGCUAAUGUGAGAGGCAUCGGCAGCCUCAACCACGGUUCAAGCACCGGCUCACGACAGAGCUUGAUCAUACCAGGACCUACUUCAUUUUCUACUCCACUAGGUUAGGUUACCGAUUUUCCUGUCAUAGAUAGUCUAGUGAAGCUAGCUUACUAAUGCCAAGAACUACUACUCACCAAAACCUAUCCUUACUAAUACACGGCUAUAUGAUAUUCUUAUUAUUCUAUUUCUAUAUUUACUCAUAUUCUAGUUUCGUAAAGCUAUACUUUAGAGAAGGAAAGAGAGAUUCUAGGACCACUUGCCCAUAAGAAUAAGACCGAACUUAACUACCUGUAACUGUCCCAACUGCCCAUGUGUACUAACCCCCCGAAAUCACUUUCCCUACUGCUACGUUGAAAUGAAAAUGCCCGCCUCCAAUCCGCUUAGUUAGACCAGACUCUCAGACAUAUGAUUGUUGAGUUAGCCAAGUGAGGGGUUCGUUCAGCCCGUCAAUAAAGCUAUUCUCGGUAUAGAAAUAGAUAAGAAGAGCUCCAAUUAGGGGCAGGCGCAAUAAGGAAGGUAAGUCAAGAAGCCAACGGAUUAGAUAGAAAUAGGCUUGGUCAAGUGUUUAAAAAAGAGGUGACCCGAACGAAUGAUUUCAAUCCCACGAGUGAUUUAUCAUAACAAAACUGUAAUUUCACCCACCAGUGCAGCUAAGGGCAACAAGAGCUAAUAGACUGAGCUAAGGCUGAAGAAAUUGGCUAAUAGACAGACUCUGUUAGGGCAACAGCUUAUAUGCAUGCUACUUUUCAGAAUCGAACUGAAAUUGGCCCUCGUCAGACCUAUCCAUCAACAGGAAUCGCUUUGGUUACGCAGUUCAAGACAAGAAGAGAGGCAACCUCUCUACAUCUGCGAGUAUAAGGGAAGGGGCCUCUAGUUUCUACCGGAACUCGUUACCAGCUUGUUCUUUUCUUUCCAGUUUUCCAGUACGAAUAGGAAGAUUUUUUAGCCCAGACCUAACACUCUCUUUUGGUUGGUUACUUCAUUGAAAUAGAAAGUACAUCUCUAACUCCUGGCUAACGCGAAUCAUUCAAAAACUACUUAUCGGGUUGGGCAACCAACACGUGAAAUCGAUGCCGGGCGACACUUCCUUCAAUUAAUUGUUUAGGUUUACUUUGGCGGAGCAUUCGAUCCAGGUGUGGGAAUCAUUCCGACAUCAUGUAUUUGCCCUAGCCUGUUGGGAAUGUAGGUGUCCGAGAAUGAAAGCUCGGCAACAGAGCAGACCGGAAGAAGUAUGUACCUCAUGAAGCAAGGACUAGCCAGAGCUAGUAGUAUGGCCACAUUUGCUGGAUGAAUCCGUUCACUGCCAGCUUCUCUAUCGCACUGGAAGACAGCCUAGAAAGAGUGCAAACAGGAAGCAUAGAUCCUUGAGAAAUAGAGGAGCUAUGAGUGCUGUCCACAACCUCUAAUGUUCCGAAAGAGAUAAUCCGUCACUCGCUCCAGAGACCUCAGUACCGUGCUAACUCCAAAAAUUUCCUUCUUUACUACAUAAAAAGCAUCAGCUGCUGGAUAGAAAGCAAAAGCAUUUAUUUAUAGCUGACAGUUAGCUUUCGCUAGAUUUCUUUCUUAUCACCUUUUCUUUUACAUUUGUUUUGAUUGUAGAUUGGGUCGGUGUAAAUAAAGGGUGAGCUCCAAACUACAGUGGGAAAGGCCAAGUAUACACCAACCAUACUUUGGAGUGAGAAGGAGAUCCUAACUAAAAAAAUAAGGCAUCUGAUACUAUGCUUCAAAGUCCCGUUUGGUCACUUUCAAAAGAAGGAUGCGCCGCUAUUUUAUCAUCAUCUGGCACUGCUUGACUUGCUUUCACAGCUUUUAGCUUGAACGUGGCACUAAAGCCUCCAUGUCAUCUAAAGAAAAUAGUUCAAGACAGUAGAGCACUGAGGGAAUUACCAACAUGAGUUCCGCAUUUCGUUUAGUGAAUGCGGAGAUAAAAGCUGCUGCUAUUGAUGCAAUUGGACUGCUCGCUUGACACGAAGGCUAUAAGAAUCAAAGGAAAUACAGGGCGUAAAUGACUUUGGAGUUCAAACCAGGCAAAGUCCUUACUUACUCUGCUCUUAGGCUCGUUUCAUUUCCAUUACACCAAAGUAAGUAGAAUGGAAUGUUGUAGAUGUACGAAAGACGAGAGAAGAACCGGAGGACAGGAGACACCAACCGAGUUGAAAGAGGACUGAAACAUGCCACUGAAAGACUCUACUAAGACAAAAGAUAGGUUCUAAAACAGGUAGAGGAGGUAGGAUGGGCUGUUAGUCAGAUCUAGUAUGUACUAUAGUUGGAGUAGGCGGUUCUCCUAGGCUUCCCUCAUCUGGGAUCCCAGGGUAAGAGGAUCAAGUUGGCCCUUGCGAAUAGCUUGAUGCACUAUCUCCUCCCUUCAACCCUUUGAGGGAAAUGUGGCAAAAGGAAGGAAAAUCCAUGGACCGAGCCCAUUGUCUCCACCCCGUACGAACUACGAGAUCACCCCAAGGAUGUCGAGCCUUUAUUGUGGAAUUAGUAACUUUCCAUUCCUUGCCGGUAGGUUGCACCGCUCACAAUACAAGAGAGAAGAUUAGCUCAUCGAAUAGCACAAGCACUCUUUAAGUUCUAUUGUCUGUUGAUUGAAUUCAGUCUGAAUCCAUCCCGAUUGUUUCAAUUAUUCAUCUAGUUUCCGAUGUUGUUGUUGAUGAUGUUUUAGUAGCUUAGGGUAGGUAGAUGUAGACAGGUACCUUUGAUGUUUGAACUUAUUAGCGAUUUAGCUUUUAGCAGAGCUUCCUUUUCUAAGUCAGAUCUCUAUGGAACGAACUCCCUUGAGGGUAUACAGACCUAUUCAAUAUGUCAUUUCCGAAACCGUACCCGCCUGCUCAAUCUUAGACACUGUGGCUACGUGCCUUCAAACCACCGGGGUUCCGUCUUAUGUCCGCCGACAGGACUUCUAGAGCCAAGGCAAGGAAACAGAACUUCCACAUCCUCUGUUCACACUACCUGGAUUGGAAUUGGUUCUAUCGAGAUAUACAGACUUGAAACAGGAAUUUAUUGGUAACUGCUUCUUCUUUGAAGCAAGUGCUUUCGGGUUGGCUCUUCUGAUAUGUGUAUUUGCUACCCAUACGGAACAAUUUCAUUGAUGAAAGAUGGAUGGCUAUAUGAUCAAAGGACUGGAAGAGAGUAUUCUAUGGUGGAUAGGAUGAAGAAUAAGAGGUGCACUAAUGAAAGAAAGAGGAGCAGUAGCUUCAAUCUAAAGCAUGUAAUCUGAGCUGUCUAUCCCGAUAGGAAGUCAAGACCUAAAGUAAGCGGAAGCCAAUCCUUAUGAGAAUGAUAGGAGGGAGGCUAAUCCGAGCAGUGGUAGAUGCUCUUUAUAGUUGUUCAAUAUGGCUCUUCAAGCUGAAUGCGAGGAAUGGAAGCAGUAGCACAACUGACUCAUUCUUAGCUUCAUUGCAAUAUUAGGCUUAGCUUUAGUAGAAUCAAAGUAAGCGGGGCUUCGCUCUAUCCCAUCUCUUUGGGGGGUAGGUGGUAGGUUCCACGUCAUCGCGGCAGCUCUCAGGGCGGGCAUUGCUUGGUUCCAGAAAGGGCUUUUAGCUCGUUCUUGCAUUUUUCUUCCAUCAAAUCACUUAUUUCUGAUUCAUUCUAGCAUUAUCAUCUACCAGUUCAUAUUGGCUCAUUCAAGAAGAGGGUCUCAAGGUAAUUAGAGACUGUUGAAAGCCAAAAACCAUGCGUUCAAAGUGGAAAAGAAAGAAGACUGCCGUUGCAAGAGCCAUUGAUUCAACACUCCGGCCGGGAGAAGGGAACCAGAAAUGGGAGACAGACCGAACUUCUUGCUUCGAGUCCUGCCGCCCGCUGCUCCCGGUUUUCCUCAUUUUCUCUCUCUUGCUGAAAGAAAACCUUAAAACUUUGUCCGACAGGGAUCCAUUAUAAUUAGAUAUAGUAAGUAGUUGGUUGGUCCGAGAAAGCCCUGACUGAAUGAUGAGCCUUUACCAGCUAAGGGGAAAUAGGUGUGCUGGCUGCACUUUGUAAUGAGAAUCAAGAUUUUGUUUGGUCUUUUUGUAUCAAAAUCCCUCGGAGGUUACUAGGCAGAUCUCAAGGUAGAAGUCUCCUAUUUCCUUUCCUAUUCGUCCUUCCCCCGUUUUGAUGAGGCGGAUUUGUCUUAAAUAUAUUUGGAGUAUAGCAGGAGUAGAUUCGAUUGAAUCAAAAUCUUUGAACCUUAAGUCUCUUCUAUAGGUUGGAAGGCGGAUCAUUUCCAAGAGGUUGCUAGUUGACCCCGAUCGAUCUCUUUCGACGCGGAUAAGAAAAAAGGAGAAUAAAAAAUGUCUAAAGAAAAGAAGAAGAAUAAAACAGUCGGUCGUCACUACCAAUGCUUUCAUCUGGAGGAAGUCAGGCUGUGAUCGAGUGGCUUUCCCUUUCUACUUCAAGGAGAUUCUGGGUGCAAAAAAAAGAAAGCGGACGGAAGAGGGAUAGAACCCCUUUUAGAGACCAAGGCUACCAAGAAAACUUUCUCAUCGUUCUCUGUCUUGUUCAACUGAUUUGGCGUCCUAUCCGAUGGAUGAAUGAGGAGCCUUGGAUGGAAUAGAAUGAGGAGAAUGCUUGGGACAAAAAGGAGAGGAAGACUACUAUGAUGCAUGGAAAGGAAUGCAUGGAAUGAAAGGAGCCAGGACAGACGUAGAACUCUGGAAAUGGGCGGGCGACUUCUCACGCGAUCUAUAAUGCUAUGUUGAUAGAUAGAAGAUUUCUGAAUAGGCAGAAGAGAAGGGCAGAAGUUCAAAAUGGAGCUACGUAUGCUCCAGGGCAGACUGUAAUCAAGGAAAUUCCAUUUCUAGGCACGUUUUGACCUAAAUGUGAUCCGGAACCUUAGUAGCAGUAAAAAUAGAAGUUUUGAAUUAUCAAACCCGUGCUCAGAACUCAACUUCUGACUCUAGCCUUCCAACCUGGCAUGGUACCCGCAUCCUGCCCUCGCCCAAGCGGUCAGUGAACUCCGGAGCGGGAAGGUAACUCUAGCAGUUGGUCUUAAGGGAGGGGGGCGUCUAUCAAGGAUCUAAUACAUUUUCCCAAGAAAUAUGAAAAGCAAAGAAAAGGAAUCCGUACAAUGGGAAGCACCCAGAAUAAGGAAUCAUGGUGAACAUCCCGAUAAUAGGGGGCAUGUCAAAAGAGGCACGAUGGCAAGCAAGACUAACUUCCUACCUUUGAUUGAAGAUCCACCUCUCCCCACACUCUUGGUGACUCCAAGAAAGAGAGAAAACUCCUCUAUCCCGGGCUCCACAACAAGACAAGGUCUUCAAUGGGCGAAAGCCCGAUCCAAGAUGCCCCGCUGCAAGAAGAAGCUCUUUGAUCACCAUCUAUCGCAAAUAGAAUAUAGUGAAAAGAUGAUAAAAAAUGCCAGUUUGCUUAUUGAAGAGCCCUGAAUAAGCAAAGGUUCCCAGGACUGCAAAUCCUUGUUUGUGUGGUUAGAGCAAAGGACUCGAAAUCCUUCAGUGGUUCGAAUCCACUGCCUGAAUGAAUAAGCGGCGGGAGAAGAGAGCAGUAGCCACGGGUGAUUGACCGACAAAGCCGCCAAUUGAACUUCAUUGAUUCAGUCAGCCAGGUGCAUCAAAGGCUUCGAAAUCUCUCUCCUCGGAACAGCGGAACAGCUUAUUCUAAUAUAGCUGGGAAAUCAAUGCUUAAACCAGAAAUAGGCGAACCUAGCGCUAGAGAAAUGCGUAUAUAGAGGUACGAGCUCUACUCUAGAAGUACGAAUAAUACGAGACUUGCGUUGCGAGCGAAUACCGGGAUAGCGAAAGCACAUGCUUUUUUUUUCUAAUUUUAUAGAAUCCCCUUUUCCUACGCCAAUACUUGUUUAAAGAAAUUCUCAAGGGAAGUAGGGCUUCAAGGAAGUAGACAACCACUUAUCGGGGAGGCACUCUUGUGGCUAGGCCUUUCAAGUAGGUUGGUUCUCAAAUAGGAAGGCAAGCUAGUAGGAUUAGGAAACUUGGUAUGGUAUAUUUUUAUUAGGGAAGUCGGGAAGUAGCCUAAAGGAUAGGGUCGGAAAGCUUAUUAAUAUUACUGGGUGGGCAAUCCAGCUAGUACUAGGUGGGAGGGGCGAAGCGGACAUAAAUUACAAAUAUUUGCUAAAAGAAGAUAAAGAGUAGUACACACCCACACUUCCUUAAAGCAAAUCGGAUGAUUUGAAUUGUAGUAAUCAUGCCCAUAGACUGGAGAAUAUUUAGAGAGUCCAACUUUCACUACUACUUCCCCUUCAACGGCUACCCCGAUUGCGGCUCAUAUGUCUAGUUUCGGUUAUGGUUCCUACUUCCGGGUUGUAUCCAACGGCUCCUCUAACAAAGCCUUUGCUUUGGUUGAAUCGUAUUGAGUUCCGGGUAGUAGAGUCCUCGGCUUCGAUUCUUUCCAACAACGGUACGGUUGACUUUCGAACAACGGCCACGGUGUUGGUUCCUACUCGAUUGAUCGGCUUCCUUUAGCUUUGUUACGGCAUGUGUAGAACCAUUCGUAGUAGCGUACGUUCCCUACGUUAAUUGAUAGCGCUAGGUGAUCAUCGACAGCUUGGGCUAGGCCACGGCUCGACACAUCCUCCGAUAGUCCCUUUUCUCGGCUUAAAACCAAUACGAAUUGCUCCUAUGAUUCCCAGCGCUAGACCAGGGCAAGGGAUCUAUUUGUAAUGUCAUCCCCACAGGAUGAAAUAGAAUAAUGCUAUCCUACGGCACGGCUGUGGACUCACCAAAACAACAAUACCAACUUUCCAACUUUUGAUCAAGGGAACCUCCUUUCUAAAUGGCGGGAACGGUACCAAUGGAAAUAUUCUUUUUGUUAUUCAAUAGCUUUCAUCAAAUGAAAUCCUCUAUCGCAGCAUCCUGACUCGGUUUCGGAAAGUCGGAAAACAGGUACGGUUCCCUACUCGGGGUAAACUUGGGAAUGGGAAGCCUUUCCAGCACCAGCUUAGGCCAAUACGACGUAGUAAAUACGAUUCCCAGCGCUUUUAUCCAAUGAUGCUAUCCCCACGAAUGAAAGAAAUAAAUCAAUUAAAUAGUUGUAGGCUCCUCUUUCGGAUUCAAUAGUAGUAGACGGCUGUAGUUCCGAGAUAUCCUUCCCUGCCUUUUCAAUUAAUAGCUCGGAUUCGUAUCCUCGGGCGAGGGAAAUAUGCUUAAACCAAGCUUCCCCCUUUGUUCGGGUACUCCUUUCAGGUGAGAGGCAGGCGCGAGGCUAGGCAAAAAAGAGCUUUCUAUGACCUCCAAGACGGAGCGAGACGGAUAGGCAGAGCUAGAGCUCUUAAAGUCUACCCGGGCUAGCUUCUUCAUUCUUCGAUCAGGGGCGGGCUUCUUCCCUUAUAUACGAUGACAUAGAUAGAGCCUCCUUCUUUGAUCCAUUCAUUGAUAAAGUAGUCUUCGGGGGCAGUUUACCUUUUGAAUCGACAGUAGAGUAGGUUUGAUCUUGCUUUCUCAAUCUUUCUCUGAUCCUAGCCGUGUAGUAGAUCCGGCUUUAUUCGGCUAAAAAGAAGUGUGUGUGGCCGUCGUAUCUGCUCGCCCCCUUCUUCAUUCAUCCAUUUAGGUCAGAAUGGAUCCAGGGAACCUGGCUCGGGAACAGCCCUGAAAAAACACAGUAAGAGAGUCCAAUCUCUUAAAUAUAGCAUUUUAUCUCCUAACCUAAGUAGUAGUAGUAGAAGGCUUAGUAUCUGACUUGAUCCAAUAGAGUCAGAACACACAGUAGAUCCAGAUUCCACACCUUGCUGUGGACUGGGGAGAGAGCAGCUCUGCGAAGCUGGGCGUUCUGUGUGAUUAUGGAGGAACUGUAGUACUCGCCCCAAAAUGCAAGCCGGGAUAGAUACUUAAAGAAAGGGGGAGCGGUGGGCCUUCAAAAAGGAGCGAGGGAGUGAUGGGCAACCUUAGUCUAUAUGUUGCUCGUGAGCCGCCAAGUACCAGUCUCGCAACAGUACUGGCGUUAAAGGAUCGGUCCUUCACUUGCGGAUCGUUCGCGAGUCGAACUCGCUCUCUUGCCACGCCUUUGACUCACGAACUCGAGUCGGACUCAUUCACUGCUGACUGAGGAUCGUUCGUUCUUCACUCUCUUGCUAUUACCCGCAGGGAGCGCAGCAACCGACGGUGCAUAUUAUCAUAUAGAAAGAAGCGAAGCGUAGCGAUUCGUACUACCGGAAAAGUGCCGCUAACCGCUAGGCAAUAGAGUCCGCUUACGGGGUGGGGCGCAAGUAAGCGUAGCGAAUCACAUAGAGUUGCCCCUACCUGCCAGCGCGCAGAUAGAUAGGGCGGGCGAGCGCAGGGAUGGAUGUCUGAGCGGUUGAAAGAGUCGGUCUUGAAAACCGAAGUAUUGAUAGGAAUACCGGGGGUUCGAAUCCCUCUCCAUCCGCGAGGGCAUAAGUUCUCUCUUGCCUUAUCUAUAGAUAAGAACGAAUCUCCUCGACUCGACGGAUAUGAUGGAUGGAAUGGGUAGAAGGUUUAGGUUAUUGUGUGUUGAUUUAGUUAGGACUUUGUCUCCCUUUCGUUAUCUUCCGCCCCGGGUGGAUGACCUGUGGGAGCUAAGUCGAAGAUCUCGGUGUCGCCGUGAGUGGUUGAUAAACAGCGAUUGCUGUUUGAUUUAAGGAGUCCUAACCCUGUGAAGCUUAACAGACAAAGAAAACGAUAGAGACUUCCGGGUAUAGGGUGACGACCUUAAUGAAUCAAGUAUUCAGGUGGCAGAGUUAUUAGCUACAUAAGCGCUCAAAUUCCUGAAUACUUAUUGCCCUGGCUUCUAUGAUCAACCCCUGGCACAUUUAGGUUUUGAUCUGAGGCUAUCCUGGUCUGCAGGACCCAACACAAGUAUUCAUCCUUUCCAAUCUGAAAAAGGUGUUGCCGAAAGCUUACCCUCUUCCACACGGAUGCUACAGCCGCUAUCACUUUUGCAGGAGGGGAAUUACAGAGUUCGCCUCUCGACAUCUUGUUUGGUAAACGGAAACCCAGGCGCCCUAGUGUUGCCUAACCGUUCGGCCGGAGAUGUCGGAUGCGAGAUCUUUAGCUACUUGUAUCAAUUUGCCACAUUUCAAUAGAUACAAUGCGCUGGCAGCUGAGGCUUGACAGGAUGGGAGUGAAUUAAGGUCGAGGGAGCAGGAAAGAGUUUGUUAUUCGCUAUUGGCUUAGUACGGCCUAUACAUAAUAGGGCCAUGACGGUUUUGGCAAGGCCUUGAACUUCAUAUAUCCCUUUUUUUACUCAAUCCAGAAUACCAAUAAAGUCAGAUUGAAUCAUUUUAUCGACCUUUCCUUUGGAUUUAUUAUCAUAGGUAGUGUUCGAGAUCGCCUCUGUGCGGUGAACGCUCGAAUGUAGAUCAGUUUUGUCCUCGCGUGGUUGAAGGAGAUGCUGCUGCUGGAUGGAAUGCUUCCGGGGCGCCAUGAUCCUUCUAUCUGGAAUAAUCGAGGGCACUGACUGACUGCAUCAAUCAUCGCUCAGUGAGCUAUUAAUUGCCGCCAAUAGCGCUUCGCUUGCAUGCAAGGCGGCUAAUAAAAGCGCCAGGUAGACGCGCGGAGAUGCAUUUUGAGUACUGGUGGUACUGGACAAGCUCUAGGGGAAUAAUCUCUUUCUUAUUUCUUUCUUAUUUCUUUCCCAUGACGACUAGGAACGGGCAAAUCAAGAAUUUCACUUCGAAUUCCGGACCUCAACAUCCUGCUGCUCAUGGUGUUUCACGAUCAGUAUUGGAAAUGAACGGAGAAGUGGUGGAACGUGCGGAACCACAUAUUGGAUCACUCCAGUGCGGCACGAAGCCGCUGACGCUGAGUAGGCUCCUAUGCCGCUAGCACGGUGGAGGUUCCGUAGCGCGUCAUGAGCACCGGGCAAAGGGACGGUUGAGCAACUCAAGCGAACCGCUCUACCUGACUUUGGAUAAAGAUAGAAGGGAGAAGGUUGUGAAGGUGGCCUCGUUAUCCACACAUCUGGUCGGAGGACCGACCUGGGUUUUCACGAGCGUAGGCGGGUCCUGGAGUGCCCGUCAAGGGCGCUAGCGCAUACCCCGGGGUGAUCAUCACCACCUGCACCUCACAUCUCGGCACAGUGGAACGUGUAACCCGCCUGCUGUCCAAGUCAACCACUUAAUUUCCUGUAAUUCAUAGCACCUAACAGAACGUAGCAGCAAGGGACAACCCACCCAUACAGACAGCCUGCGGGGAGGAUGGCACUACUGGCAAAGACCGUCUGGCGAAAACGCCGCUGGCGCGAAGCGUGGUGGGCCUGCGCCGGGGGAGCAUAGGGAGGAAAGGGAGCCCGGACGGUGGAAGAGCCAGGGGAAGCCGGGUCAUUUGACGGAAAUGGAAGGUCCGAGCAGCUCAUUCAUUCUUGGAAAAAGAGGGGGGGAGCGAGCCAAUGUAUCAAUGAAUAGAUACAGUCAACGGUAGACAGACAGCGCUGCCUACACGCGAAUUAGCUUCCGAACAAGCAAGGGAUUGAGCAACUAGCGCGAAAGCCGUUGCGCUAACGCGCAUCCGUUUUCUUGCUGGUCGAGCAGUCUCAAUUUCACUACAGGAUUUGCGAAUGAAUGCUGGGCUGGGCCACCUCAAAUGGCGUGAGCCGCAUGCGGGGAGACCCGCACGUACGGUUUUCAGGGGGAUCCGGCCGGCCGGCGCCCACCCGACUAGAGGGACUGAGAAAUUAAUCGAGUACAAAACUUAUCUUCAAGCUUUACCUUAUUUUGAUCGUUCAGAGGGCGAUCGCGGAGUCACUGAAUGAAGUCCUCCCUCCCUUUCUUUCGGGGGUGCUGACCCGCAGCGAGGCAGAUAUGACUAAGUGACAUAUUGAAUAUGGCGACGACUACAGCAUGUCGUAGAAGGAGAUAAGAGGUGGAGCCAACGACCCACUAAGACUCACGUAUCUACAACUACAUUCCCGAGCGGCAGUCAAACGGAGGCGUGAAUGCAAGAUGCCAGCGGAAUGAUCGACCGGACAGAGGCUAGGGCUGCUUUCUUCCCACCGCGUCCUUCCUUGUGUGUCGGAGAUAUAAAGCGAGUGCACCGGAAAAGAAGGGGAACUGAGUCGAUCUAUUCCAUGGCGAAGCAUCCGAAGCAUAACUGCACACUCACACGAUCUUUGCCGAGAGAUAGGAGCAUUCGGUGGAACCGGUGAACUACACUUGCUUCUUGAUAGAUGUGUGGGACAGAGGGCUCGUGGUACCUGCUGCCCACCCUUCCUCCGCUUUGAUAACCGUGUGAACGGAGAGUGGGCAGAGCAAAAGGGAAGGAGGUCCUCAUACGGAGUCGCACACUUGAGCAGUGCGGGAGACUGGAGAAUGGGUCGAGUAAACUCCCUUAGGGCCGAUUAAAUCACAGACGAGGUUCUUGAUUUUUUCUUUUUUAUUUGAGAAAAAAAUAAAGGCAGAGGUAAAUACUUCGAAGAGGCGGCUCGGUAGGGAUGGAAUGGUCAAUCGUCAAGUCAAGGAUGACUUCUUUGUUGGCGAAACGAUGGGGGAGAGAAAGCACGCCAGUGAUUCUCUGAGCCGGUCUUCAUUUCCAACGCCUCGGGAAACAGGUCGAGAUAGAUGACAGCACCUUUUUAUCCUCUUCCUUACCGGGAAGGCGCACUUCUCUUCUUCUUCUGGCCUUCACCUCCUGCCCGGCCCGGAAAUAGAACCCAGCCCCCUUUCUGAUCCAUUCAUUUCUGCAAGCAGGCGGGAUCCAGAGCUAAGCCCCCCUCCUAUUCGAAGCCGGGUGUGGCCUCGCCCUUUUGCUCUUCCUUCGGUUUGGCUCCACGAAGGCGCCGCCUAGACUAGGAGCCCCACUCAUAUUCAAAAGGCGCCCAGCUUUCAAGACGAUGAUAAUAAGUAGUUAGGCUGCCAUUUUUCCAAUAUCAUGGAAUAGCAUGGCCCGGGGCUAAGGUAACUCCAGUGGGAGAGCCGUGUUAUGGGUGACCUUAUUGCACGGUUCAGAGAGCACUUGUGUAUGUGAUGCAAGUGAACGUGUACGAAAAAGCUGUCGUAAAGUUUCGUUGUUCGUUCCGUCGUUGACCCUAUCUAUGUUUCUACGAUGGCCCAAGAACACGCUCAUUCUUCAGCCGUAGAGAGACUUUUGAAUUGUGAGGUACCAUUACGAGCUCAAUAUAUACGAGUGUUAUUCUGUGAAAUAACUCGAAUUUCAAAUCAUUCACUUGCUUCAACUACUCAUGCUAUGGAUGUGGGAGCAUCAACUCCGUUCCUUUGGGCUUUUGAGGAGCGGGAGAAAUUGUUGGAAUUCUAUGAAAGAGUCCCGGGAGCCAGGAUGCAUGCCAGUUUCAUACGACCUGGUGGAGUGGCACAAGAUCUGCCUCUUGGCUUAUGUCGAGAUAUUGAUUCCUCCACACAACAAUUUGCUUCUCGUAUCGACGAAUUAGAAGAGAUGUCAACCGGCAACCGUAUCUGGAAACAACGAUUAGUGGAUAUUGGUACUGUCACUGCACAGCAAGCAAAGGAUUGGGGAUUCAGUGGUGUAAUGUUAAGAGGUCGUGCGACAUGAAGACAUUGAUAGCAAUAUGGGGGAAGUUCCCAUCAGGCAACAACGGUUCUGCCCGACCCUACAAAAGCAUGCAUAUGUUGUCAGUGAAGAUUUUGUGUGAAGCCUUGGAGACGACGUACCCGGGGCUAGGGUGAGCUGAGGGGGGACAGCGUAAGUGAGCGAAUGUGUGUAAGCCCAGUCAAAGAUUCCUAUUCUAGGCGGGGCGGGCCAUCAACCUUCGAAUGGUGUUGGUCCUACGGACCGUGAACGGAUUCGCCUCUGGCCUCUGGGCACGUCGGAACCGCAUGAGUUCACCGGGGUGGAGCACGGUCCGCCAAAAUCGGCAUAGGUUAGGUGCUAUUGAUGGAACAUGGUAAGCCCAUCUUUCUCCAUAUGAAAGUGCUGCGGGCACAUAGAGAUGUGGGUAGAGGAAGUCUCAAAAAGCGAAGGCCGAGCUGUAGGUCACGUGACCUGCACCGAAAAGGUGGCUGACUGGGCUUUCUCCUGGAUCAAAGCAGAUCAGCUCGCCAAAUUCGUUGAUCGAAUCGGGCGCCCCGGAACGUCGAAUGAAAAUACGUGGUCUUUCUACAACCCUAUUUAUAUGAUAGGCCCGGCCCCUUUCCCCCUAUCCCUCCCUUAUGUUUAGGAGCGGGAUCUGCCCAAGAACGACCUGUGGUGGUACGGAAGGUACGGACUCCGCAAGCGUCCCGCACCCUCUGAGAAAGAAACUCCUCAACCAUCACAAGAUAAAGAAGUAUGACGCUCUGUGUCUGACUCUAUUGGUCAUAGUUCCUUGCUGUUGCGGCCGGUGCUCGUUUGCUGAACCACCAGAUCAUAAGGAAAGAUGCCUCUCGGGGCAUCUGAGAAUGAUUCGAGCCGUAUGAAGGGAAACUCCCACGUACAGUUUGUUUUGGGGGGGAAGGAGCCCGACAGGGUCCCCCACUGACUUGGCCCGGGCCUAAGUGAAAGUGAAAAAGUGAAGUGGUGGGCCUACCCAUCCCAACCUGGGGUAUGCUGGGAUUCGCGAAGAGCAGCACCUUACGAUGUUCAUGACCAAUCGGAUCUUGACGUACCAGUAGGUACCAGAGGAGAUCGCUAUGAUCGUUACUGUAUUCGUAUCGAAGAGAUGCGACAAAGUGUUCGGAUCAUUGUGCAAUGUCCUAAUCAAAUGCCUAGUGGCAUGAUCAAAGCCGAUGAUCGUAAGCUAUGUCCUCCAUCACGAUCUCGAAUGAAACUAUCCAUGGAAUCGUGCGCCGUGUGAAACGUAGAUCAUCGCCGUUCUUAACCGAGACUCAGGUUAAGCUCCGUCUCGGAACCGUCGUGGGGUUAGGAGUAAAGCAUCCCGAGGUUGGCGCAUCUCGUUGGGCGUGGAGAAGCAUUGGGAACCCCAAUAUCUUUCUUCGGAGCAGUUUCUUUUCCCGUCCCCUCGCCCCGGCAUAGCGCUUCGCUUCCGGUUCUUCGGAAGAAUCAACUGACUUCUCCCUUCUUCAUUGAUCCGGGGGAAAGGGAACCGUCUACCAGUUGGGAAGCUAGACAUCAAGGUUGUGGCUUGAUGAGGAUAACUAAGCUGACACGCCGGAGUUGGCUGCUGGCACAACAGGGUGGUGCCUUACCGCACCGCAGGCGCACGCGCGGUAGCGUUCGUGGUGGUGCUUCAGGAUUCCAAUGUACUGCGUCCAAGAUCAGAACGAGCUUGCCGGCGGACCACUGCCGUCCCAUUCUUUAGUGAGCUGGAGCGCAGCCAUCUUAUCCACGGAAAACGCGUCAAGCUAUCGCUUCGGGUCGAAGCACUAAAAGAAAAGGACCGGGAAACGCGGCGGCAUAGGAACCACGGGAACCCAGGAGGGAGAAAGACGAUGUACGGGAUACGGGAUCCUCGUAGUAGGCUGGACCAAAAUCCAGCCGAGAGAGGGCAGCCUUUAGAAGCAACAGGUUGGGAAACCAAGAGAAGGCUUCGCCUUUUCUUAUCUUCUUCCCGGCACAAAAAGAGGGAUUAGCAUUAUUGACCCCAUGAGAAAGCACUAACACCUUCCUCGUUGGGGCUCCGCGCACUGGGAAAAGGCUUCCGCGACAGGAAACCGGCUACUAGUUAGGAAGUGAACAUAAGGUAUCAAGAGGUCCCUCACAGUCAGGUGCGAUGCAAUUGCCCCCUAUUAGUCAAGUACCCCUCUUCCUAUUUUGUUUAGGGGUUAAAAUGGCUUGAUGAACCCUUCCGUUCACACGCACCGGCCCCAUUCACUUGCAACUCGUAGAGGCUGUAAGUAAACAGUGCCCCACUAAAUUCAAAGUGACGGUGGGGUUGAAAGACGAGAGUGCCUACCUCCGAGCCGAGAGUGCCCGCCCUUUCUGUCAAGUAGGCUACUUUUUCCGGAACGCAGUCCGGAAUAAGCGUUCCUGUGUAUAUAGAUAUCUUCGAUGCUGUCAUUUCGAAAUGUCCGCUUCCUCUUUCACCUCCCAAAAAGCAAAGUUGGCUUGACGAGCGCAGAUGAGGAAGCGGGAGCAAUAAAACCAAGAAUCUCUUUCUUUUCCAAAUACUUUAUUAAAUUAAGAUUAAGUUAAGGGGCAAAGAGAAGCGCUUUCGCUACUGAGAAAGCGAAUGGUCAGCGCGAGGGUUCGACGACUUAGCCGAGCGUUAGCGAAGCGUCAUUCUCAUAGCGAGGCGCUUCGAGUUAGCGAAGCGCUGUAGUAGCGUCGGAGACUAUGUGCUAUAAUGCUGAACUAAGGACGUUCCGCCUUAUCUAUAGAAGCAGUCAACUGAGUUCUGAACGAAUGGGAUCCUUGGUGGGUAAUGGCUCAAUCAAUCUAUAGAUGGAAAGCCUUAUGAUGGGAAACUACCACGUUAGGUUUGGAGAGAGAUGGGACCUGUUAUAGUUUAGGGGGAGCAGAUGCAAGCUUUUUCUUUCCAUAGCCGGCCAAAUGACUACCGGAUCAUCGGUCUACUCUACCUCAAUUCACCAUUUCGAACUUUAUACAGAAGGUUUUUCCGUACCAGCUCCUUCUACCUAUACCGCAGUUGAAGCACCUAAAGGUGAAUUUGGUGUCUUUCUUGUCAGUAAUGGGAGUAAUCGUCCCUACCGUUGUAAAAUAAGAGCACCUGGCUUUGCCCAUUCACAAGGACUCGAUUCUAUGUCCAAACAUCACAUGCCAGCAGAUGUAGUCACCAUCAUAGGUACUCAAGAUAUUGUGUUUGGAGAGGUAGAUAGAUAGGACGUAGUCUUGCUCGAUCAGGACCCUUGCUUUAUUGCGAGCCAAAACAGCUGCACCAAGAAAAAUGGCUCUUUCGGCACCCUCAAGAAUAGCUUGUGCGUUGGCCCAAAGAAGCCCUGGGUAAAGCUCGAUUAGUACAAAAAAAAAGGACCCUCCCCGGGGCGGAGGAAACGGCAACCCUACUGCAUUGGAACAUCGUCUCCUCACCAUCUCCCUCCCCAUCGUCUCCUUCUUCACUUCCCCGGAACUGCACAUCAGGAUUCUUCAAUCCUUCUAUCUGGCCUCCGUACCCGUAGUGGAGUACCUUGCUACUUUCAAUAUUCAAGUCAUUUUCAUUGUUUGUUUUUAGUUUUGUUGUGGAGAAAGAGGGCUACUUAGGAAGCAAGGUAACUCUAUCACCUUCCGUCCGUCUUUUCUUGAACAUUUGACUUCGCGAAUCCUAGCUUUUAUAAGGCUCAUGCUUCGGUCCCGCUACCGCUCUACCACUGUGCUAGACUCCCAUCCAUACCGCCUGGUCUUAAUUUUGAAGAUUUGAUUUCCAAUCAACGAGUAAGUAGCUCCAUUUGGGCUAGGUCAGAGCAGGCUGAAACAUAUAUGUCUAGUUCUUUUUCCUAAAGAUAACCUAUUACACAAUGACGGAUCUUCUCGAACCAGACUGACUCAUCACUCAUCUAUCCAAAGCUUGAAAUAGCGCCGCUUACCUGUCUCAGCUAGCAUAGGACCAAGCAAUCCCCAUACCCAGACCCCUCUUCUCCUUUAUAUUUCAUUAGUCUGUAAGUGCAUUAUUUGUGCCCGAGAGAACUACUGGUAACUACUUGAACUAUGAAGCCGGCGUAUGGUCUGAAUCAACGAGAGUGUGAUACUUAAAAGAAAAUAAUAAUUAUAGGGAGGCAGCUAUAUCUUUAAUCUAUACUAGGUCUUUUAGAUGAAUAAGUUACUUUACUCCUCGAAGAACAUUACUUCUCUGGAUGCUAAAUAAAGAGAUUGAAAUAACCUUACUAAGCUUUAAGUAAGCACUCUUACCCGCGCCGGAUUCGUAUGGAAGAUCGUAUAAAAGAAGUAUAACGUUGCUGUAGGAAUUCUCAAAAUAAAGACGAAUUUGGAUCCUUUGAGUCUUACUGUAUAUCCCCCGAUUUAGAACUUCCUAUCAAAAGAUAUGACUAAAUAGUUGAAAAAAAAAAGCUUAUUGAAUCUUCCUAAAAUGCUCAAUCCAAAAGGACUAUUUCGUUGUUUGUGCCAAAAAAACUCUUUAAAGCUAGUGAAAUCGGCUCAUAAGCGCCCGGUGAAGUGGCCAAGAAAGGCAUGCAUGGCUCUUCCUAUUCUUCACAGGCGGUGGGAUAUCUCGUAACCCAGCUACCUUGGCAACUAGCUCUAUUCGCUUUCCUCGGGUGAUCGAGUUCAGUUCAAUAAUUCUAAAGAAGCUGUCAAGUUAUGGCUAAAUCCUCAUCUCCAUUCUCUGGUCCACAUGCAAACGUUUAAGAGUAGCGAAAGCGGGGCAGCUAGUAGAAUUCGUAGACCAAGCACUUCCCCGUUGGAGCGAGCAAGAUUCCUUUGGACUUACUUUGGUUUUGCAUAUAUUUUCAUAUAGAAACAUAGCGUAGCGAUUCCGUUGCGUCUUAGACAUUUCACGCGGGGCGGGGAAUCGAGUCUAUUCAGGAAGAAUUGCAGCAAUUCUUCAAUCCUAACGAAGUCAUUCCGGAGGAAUCCAAUGAACAACAACGAUUACUUAGGAUCAGCUUGCGAAUUUGCAGCACCGUAGUAGAAUUAAGGGCAAAGAAAGGAAAGUCUCAUUGGCCCUCGUCGACGCUCCAGUGUAUGCGUUACGAGGCAACUAGCAUUUUGUUUUGUCAUGGAAGAAAGAAUGUUCUAGUUUUUCGUUGCUUUUCGUCGGCAAAACCGACGCCAACCUAUAAAAAAGUCUCCCUUUCUCUUUUGGGAGCUGAGCUGAAAAAGAUGUAGUUCUGUUCUAAUGGGAUUGAGAUUGGAACGUGUCGUAAAUGCGGGUGAUCCCGGACUAUUUGUGCCCCAUCCAGGCCAUUCUGGGGCUCCUACGAGGUCCAUCACUGAUAUUGGCCAGGAAAUGGCAGCUUUUUUCGCGGAGGCUAAUCUAGAUACUGUAGCGCAGAGCCCAUACAUAGGGCUUAUUCGCGCUAUAGAUCAUUUGGAAGAAGUAUCCCCAGCCAAUGGAGGUCAAGGAGGCGAGCAAGCAGCGGGGAGCACAGGGGAAGCCGGCCCAGCCAAUCCAGUUGAUGCCCCUCAGGUUGCUAUUCAUCAUGACGCUCCUCGCCCUUUCGAAACCCCUCAGGCUAUGGAUCAUUUUGCGGGUAGCCCGCUGGAUCCAUUUGCCAUUCACCCACUGGAUAUAAUUCCUCUCGCUCUCGCUCUCGGUUUGGUCAUACUUAUUUCUUUUUUUUUCCUUCGGGAAGUAUGGAAAAACUGGUAUGAGAGUGCGAGAAAAAAAGCAGUGGAGUAGUGUGAAGUAUAAAUCCCCGAGCUGAUGUUAUAAAGGAUCCCUGUUUAUAAAACAAUAUGUGCGCUCAUUCUGGAUUGAGUUUUAGUGUGUUUGAUACCUUUCCCCCCAGGUUAUGAGGGAGUGGGGGAUGGCUUACAGAUGCAAAAGUAAAGGUAACUAGGGUUAGGGGAGGGAAGAUACCGAAGAAUCUAAAGGUGACUAGGGAAGAUAUCCAAGAAUGGUGUUGAUUAUAGAAUAGAAAGAGAAGCGUGUUAAGCUAAAUCAAGGAGCUGAAUUAUCUCUGUCUCGGUGCUAGAUCUAUCUGCUAGAUUGGGUUAUAGCACUAUCCUACAUCCUGCUAGGGGGAGAGUCUGGAAGGAGGUUGGACUGAAGCCCAUCCGAUGUAGGCCAGCCUCAACAAGGAAUCAGGUUUUUAAGAGAAAUGUUGUUUUCUUGAGGAAGAGCGUCUUGUUCGGGGAUGACAGGCUUUCUCCGACAAGAAAGAUGAGAGGAACCGUGGAGUUGGGAAAAGCGGCGCACUAGAAUGGAUAGCACAGGUCGGAGGUGAAGCUUAUAGACCAACCCCUUCUUUCUUUGAGCUGAGCACUUGACUUCGGCAGUGGUCAUUGCCUACCGGUAAACUCCCAUACUUCCUUCUUUUGUUCGAGGGAGGCCAUACAUCUUCCUUCAUUGGUUGGAUCCAGGUCAGAAAGUUCUAGGAAGGUUGUGUGCGCAAACAAGUCAGAAUUAAUAAGAAGGGGUGCGAGCAGUACACUACCCAUUUGGGUAUUGGCAAAUCACAGUCAUACUUCUUAGAGUGGGGUGGAGCACCAGCACCUUAAGCUGCACCAGUAUCUUAGUAAGAUAGACACCGAUUAAGAAACCGAGAAGUCUAGAUUAUGGAGACUCUCUAAGUUUUUCUAAGAUUUCCUGUGUCUGUACUACUUCACUUUAGACCCGGCAUAUUGUAUGUAUCCUUCGCCCUUAUUUUCAAUUCUGAGAAUCCGCCUUCACCCUUCGGAGAAAACAUGGUGGCCAGAGAGAAGGUAUGUAGAUUAAUAGAGUUGCUCUUACUUUUAGAAUAUAUCAUGGAUCAAAACUUGGUUCUCAUGGAUGAAGUGUUUGAGUAGACAAAAGAAGAAGCUGCUACACGAAGUGAAAACCGGUGCUAAGAGCUGGAGAUUAUUAUCUAUGAGAGAGAACUGCUUGGCCCACGAUGAGAGAGAACUGGUAGAGAAGUGCUAAAAGUAAGUGUAAGUUAACAAGCAUGAACCUCCUCGUUGAGCAGCCGCCUGAGCUUUCUCUUUGUUUAGAAUUGAAAGAGAAGUUUUUGAUAGUGGGGUGCGUGGUGUAUUAAAAGUGGAUAUAGACCCCGGACAAGAAAGCCUUUUCUUAAGCACAAAUGCGGUACUAUUUUGAGCAAGCAAUCUCUUCUACAAUAGGCGGUCUGAUCAAUCCAAAAUAUUGAGGCAGGAUUUGGAUUUAGAGAAUCAAAAAGCAAUCAACCAUCCCCAAACAAAGUGCUGCUGGAGGGAAAUGCUAAAGUCCCAUUCCGAAUUCCAUUAAGGUUGUAUUCCUACUAAGAAACUCUGGGCUAUACUCUACAUCCCAUCCCAGCUCGUAAGUAAUCCUAUUUCUGUAUUAGCCUUUGAACAGCAUGGGCCAUGAAAGGACCGGAGAAGGAAUGCAGUAGGAUGAUUCUAUCUUUCCUAUGUAUGGGGCACACGAUUCUCUUUCCAUACACUAGUCAAAAUCCAUAAUAGGGCGAGGGUACCUAAAUAUCCAUCCAGAGCGAGUUGCGAUUCUUUUACUUACUACUUUUUGAAAGAUUACACCUUCGACUAUCUCUAAGCACGCAUGUCCCACUAUCUAUAUGUGAGAACAGGCUGUAAGCACGCAUGCCCCUCCUAUCUAUGAAAGAGAACAGGAAUUCCCUACACCAACAUAUCUAGCGAGGGUCCUUCCAAUCUACGAAAAGAGGGCACUACGAAAGCUAAUUAGUCAAACCAGCACCAAAAUAGCGAGUGAGUAACAAGCACUAUUUCGACCAUACUCUCUUGUCCUUAGAUUCCUGUCAUUAAGCACUACAUACUAUAGCAGUCAACUCACUAUUUGCACUCCUUGCAUUCCAUGAGCUUUUCUUUCAAUAGUAAGCAGGAAAUGCGAAUAAGAGAAGGGUAGAAGAAGCGAUUCCUACUAGUACUAACGAUUCAAACCUAGCCCCUUAGACUGUUCCUACCACCUCCCCUCUUUUCAGUCGGAGUACCACGACCACGUGACUGGGCUUUCCCCCACGACCAGCACCUACCACCGUCGAGCUACCCGUCCCGCGACCAGUACCACCGAAGCCACGACCAGAAACACCUACUCCAUUACCUCCUCCACUAACCCCUUCACAAAAUACCAAAAUAGGAGCAACUUAUUAAAUAGGGCUAUCUAUACAGUAGGUCAAAUAGGAUCAAGUUUUGCCAAUUCCGAAUUCAAGUACGAAAACUAAGAAGUUGGCACUUUUAACACAAGGAAAAGGGAGCCCACAUAUAAAAUCGAAAGCGAGUUGGUGCUUGGGAAAGAUACUGGUACCUUUAGACUAGGGUCAAUAAUUCAUUAACAUUUCGAGAUUUUCCUGGCUUAAGGCUUUCACCGCAGUAUUGUCUUAUGCUUUAGCCAAGUAUAGCUCUAAAAUCUGUCUGAUUUGCCAAUGAAUCAUGAUUUCCCUUGCUUUUCAGAUAGCCUUGACAUGAAUGAAAUGUGCACUUGACCGUUAUCCCUUGCUUUGAUUACACUCUCUCUAUUCUUAUCUCUUGUCGGGCCCCAAUCCUUCUUCUUUCUUCUUUGAAUUCCGAUCGUCAUCCAACAUACCAGUAACAUGUGAUGAUGCACCCGAAUCUACUGCUCUGUGAAGAGUUGGAAGGACAGUAAUCGGUUUCUCACUCAACCUAUUCUUGGGACAUUGGGCAAAUUGAAUAAGCGAAGAAGGCAAAGAUACUUGUAUUCCAUUGAAUCUCUUCCAUUUCAUCCUUAACUUUAUUUCAAAAGAAGAAGCAGUUACCAGAUCCGGGCAGAGCAAACCAAACUAGAUGAGAAGGCGGAAUGUAGCUAAAACAUAUGGGUUUCUCUAGAGAAAAACCUGCAUGUACCUAUACCAAACGCUAGAAUGCCGAUAUGGUUGAAGUAGCAAAUAGCCAAUGUAUCAAAUAGUCAAUGUUGCUCCAUAAUAAGCCGAAAUAGUCCCUGUACCUUUUACAAGGGUAACACCUGCUUGACCUUCCAUCUCUUCUCUACAGGCAUUCACUGAACAAUAGCAAAAGUUCCCACCUAAGUUCGGUAUCCCGGCCAAGUGCAGAGUAGAGAGAAUCGGGUGCUUCCAGUGAUUAGUUAUCAGAAAGCCCUGUUUUCCCGAGCCUCCUAAUAAAGAAAGGUUCGAAUCGGCAGUCUGCUUCUGCCUAAGUAUUUGUUUUCAUUUCUUUGAUUGAACAUUCCAAGCUUCCUUUCUAUUAUACCUAAUGCCCAUAGCUAGUUUUAUUUUAUAUUUGUCUAUUCUUUUUGAAAAAGCUUUAUCCGCCCCGUGCGAGAGAGUUGAACAAAUAGCAUAGCCUCUGGGAUGUUGGCCCUAGUGAAGGGGAGCUCUUCGCAGCUGUCAGUGGAAAGAUGGAAAUUGGUUCUAAAAGAGCCGAGCUAGGGAUAAGAGAUACGGUUGGUUGGCUGAAUGGAAGGAAUGCUAUUCUAAUGGGAACCGGGAAAAGAAUGGUUCCCAAUACAGGGCCCGAAGAAGAGAGACGAAAGGAAGUAGUGAAAGAAGAAAUAAAGUACGCGGAUAAAAGUGAAAAAUCACAUAGCUACUAAGUCAAAACGUCCAAUGAGAAUGGAGAUCAAGAAGGACAUGAAAUCCAUUAGCAGCUCUAUCAGUUAUUUCAUUAUUGGCAUUCCUUAACCAAUAGAAAAAGAAAGAGAUCACAAGCGUUAUCAGUCUCCAGACGCAUCUAUCUAUAAAAAGGAGUAGGGCACCUGAUAUGAGAUACAUACUGGAGUCAAGGAUUGAGACCACUAGUGAUAAGGCAAAGAAAUGAGCAGUCCCAAAGGAAUGAACCGGAAUAUCCACCUUUAAAAGGAAUUAACUGAAGCAGCAAAUGCGCCUGUUCAGGCAAAUGCUGAAAACAGAGCUAGCACCGAUGUUCAUCAGCUCCUUUCUUUGGCAGAGAAGGGAGAAUGCUUUUCACAAGAACUGUAUUACCAUAUUUUCCUAUUUCACUUUUUUGGGCUUUUCUGACAGCUUCAAGUUCUCCACCCAAUUCCUGAUACAUAUUGGUAUUACUGGUACUGCAGUACUUGAAUUAAUUUUCUAUAAAUAUGAAAACCAGAACACACAGAUGAUGCCUAGGGAUGAAGGAGACUCGAGAUCUUGGCUUUCACCUGGGUACCGUGUAGAGGAGCCUGACGCCAAGGCACGUGGAGGAUAAGAAGAAAGAAUAUGAGGAGCGUAGCCGAGAAUCUGAAAGUAAGCCCGCGGCCUUUCGAAAGCCUAGAGUGACAGGAAGAACAGAACCCAAUAGCGAGAAGUAGGUACGUACCUCAAGUCAAUUCAGUUAAGUAAGGUAGGAAAGACUAGCUAGGAUUGAAAAUAGUUAAGCAGUCAAAAAAGAGGUUUUACUUAAUGAACUAGCCUAUCUGCCAACCUACGAGUCAAGUACGGGAUCAGAUCUCAUAGUUUCAUAACUGAAUAGGAAGUCGACUUUUCUUUACCACUCUCAUCAGCACUGAAGGGUAUUGUUCAGAAGAAGAAGAGAAAUCGAACAACUGUUACUACUGUACCCUAUUUGUUAUUCUUCAACUACAACUACCGCACCCGAAACUGUAACUCCUACUUUGCGUUUAGUUUCUGUCCUUGCAGCUCCUUCAUCUUCAACUGAAACUGUCCCGCCCCUGAGCCUUUUUCUGGGACUGUGCCUUCCUACCCUAUACAGUUGGUCAAUAAGCUACCUCCCCUCCUCGAUGACGACAGUUACCCGCGGAACUAAUAGGAAGAGCUGCUAGAGAUAGAGGAAUACAAAAUGGUUAUGCCAAUUGUUAGCCAUAGUGAAAGUAGGAGAACGAAGCCUUAUAUUCUCAGCUCAAUCCCUUGCUUAUUUAAAUCCUAUGCUUGUUUGAACGCGCUGCUCAAUAUCCCUUGCUUCUUUGUCGGCGAUUUUGCUUGGCUUGGGGGAUUAAAAUACAUACACGGCUAGUAGAGUUUAUGAAUGCCCCUAAUGAAUAUGUGAAGGAAAUGAAAUCACUUUUAUGCUCUAAGGUCAAGAAGUUUCUUAGCAUUUAUGCUAUGGGGCGGAGCGUUGCAGUUAUAAUUGAAUCUAAUUACUAGUUGCUAGUGCCUAGUUGUACCGAUUCCUUCAGUUCAACUGUGAUCAGUUUAUCCGGUGGGAACAGAAUUCAUAGUUGGACAGCGAAGAUAGAAUUCAUAGUUUGUUGUGAACACGCUUUCGAUAUCAUAUAGAAUGUUUUUUUUUAGCGCCCGGUGCCCUUUCGCUCAAAGAAGCGUGAUUCAAUGCUGCGCUAUUUCCGACAAGAAGGAAAAGAUGAUCCCACCUCCUGCUUCUGUGACGUCUUAACCUCUUUCUUAGGGAAGUAAUGAAGAUGGCAUCGAAUAAGCUCUUUGAUCUUGAUGCAAGUUUGCAAGUGAAGAAGAAUGCUUGAGAUUCCAAGUAAGGGCAUUCUCUCCAUUAUGGAGCUAGGCUAGAUAGGAAAAACCUCAGUUUAGAUUUACAUAAUAAGGGUUUUGAGAUUGACUUAGUCUAUUCAGUGAAUAGGCGGAUCGAACUCAAAGCAAGGUGUAAAGCGGUAAGGCAUUACGCUGUGGUCAAUCUUCAGAUAUAGAGUAGGUACCGAACCGGAGUCAGAGUGAACAGCGGUAUUUCAUUCAGUCAGCUUGGCUUUUCUAUAGUUGGCCUUUUUGUCUACCUUCUUGAGUCAAUGUCACAUUGGUCCAUUCCGGUCUUCAGUAAGUCAGUGUUCACCAAGCAAGCUGGAGCACCUUUCACUCUCGGACAUAAAGGCUUUUAUCCAAUUCAUUCACAGGAAGGGUAGAAGAAGCGAUCUGCGCAUUUCUUUAUUUCACAACGGACGUUAGAUAAAUCAUUUCUUAGGUAUGCUACAUUCUUAGAAUAAAGAGUAGGUUAUUACAAUAUGUCUAGUUGUUGAACAGGGCCCUUUCUUAAAAAAGAAAUAGUUAGAUUAUAUUAUGCCCAUGCUUUAUUAACAACACAAGUGAAGAUAAAUAGUAGUAAGUAAGCUUUCUACCACUAGUAGUACUAUGGUUGCUUUCUACCACUAGUCGUUGAAUCUUCCUAUUCCACUUACAGUACCUCUCGGUGUCCAAUGGUUAGGACCAGAUGUAAGCUUGUAUCAACAAGUUUUGUAUAAGAUUAUGAGAUGUAGUUGAAACAAAGCUUUGCUCCUCUCAUAGUUUUGUUGUUUCCUAUUGUUUUGCUUCCUUCAAUUACCCAACAACUGGUAUCAGAGCACACUAACACUAGGAACCUUCACGGUAAGGGAUUAUUAGACCACUAUGAACAUUUGUAAUUGGUUCAUUCUACUUCAGGCAUGGUUCACUCUAGUUAGUGGAAGAGUGUACAACAUAGGGAUUGGUAUCAGUCACACAUUUAGGAAUCAAAGUCAAAAGGUAUACUUCUGUGCAUCUUACUAUACCCGCUUUUGUAAGCCAAGCCAACAAGGGAAGAGAAGCUUCUGGUUCCACUUGAGGUAUUUAAAAAGUGGCUGUCUCCGCAAGUGUAACAUAGUCAAGAGAGGCAGGCUCGACUUUCCAUUUAGUUCUACUCCUUCCCAUCUUUGAUGAAGCUUGCGAGUUCUUCUUUCUAGAUCGAUUGAGAUAGGACCUUUUGGCACAGUACAAUAUCGAUGUAAGGUACAUGACCAAUCAAGACUGCUUUUGGGAAGUGAGACCAGGCGAGGCUACCAAUGAGAUCCCACUCACUGGCUUUGGUUAGUUAUAGUCAAUCCAUCCCGCCUUCCUAAGGUCACUAAGGCGGAGCACGGAAAAGAAAAUGGGGCACCCAUGUUUUACCAGUCCCGGAUCUCAGGGCCGUUUUGCCAACCGCCGACAUGAACGAAAUCGAAUUUCAUUGCGGGAAAUUUUGAUUUAAUGAGGGAGGAAAAGGCGAGGCGGAGGGUGGAGAGUCGUACAAUGCAUUGGUGGGAUGAAGGUGCUAGCUUGGCUGAGAUAGGAAGUUUCGAUGUGUAUGUAGAUUUGGUUCUAGUGCCCCCACCCUUUUCGAGAUCUGUCAGGAUUAGCAAGAUGUUAUAGUGUAAACUAUAGAGAAAUGGAAUGAAUGAAAUGUAUCUAAGAAGAAAGGAAGCCAUGCUCCAUCCUGUUUAUAAAAAGAACAUCACCUCCCGGUUAGAUACCGCUCCGUUAGGUACUAAUGCUUCUACCUAUCACCCUCCGGGUGAGUUUGAGAGCUGUGUUUUUUCCAACGUUAAUAGCAUUCCGCGAGAAAAGAGAAAAGUCAUCUACUGAUGUUGUCAGCGGAGUCCCUCGUCCAUCCAUGUAUGAAUAGCGGUAUCCCCCAUUUUGGACAGUGAUGAGGUAGUCGACGCAAUUUGCAUGUGUAUUUGCGUUCGGCUUUGCUACUUUCCUUC